rnacentral:lncRNA from 1 species
UCCUUGAAUGCCCUCGCUAACGCCUCUCAUUGUGUUGUGACAGAAGUCCAGAGAAGAUGGCUUGGCUGGCCGGGAUAGAGAUUGGCAAGGGAGCUACAGAAAACUCCAGAGCAAGGCUGGGAUCUUCCUGGAAGUUUGAGACGAAGAACGUGUUACAACCCCAAGUAAGCUUUGCUUUCAGCACAGUUUUAAAUGAAAUCGAUCGCUUGCGCAAAUUGCGAGAUCAUGGAACGUGAUCGCCAUGAUGUUUGUUCCAGCGCCGGUAAAAAGGUACGAAGAGCUCUAGGACGAGACAAGACCGUGAAGCUUAGAAAAAAGAAAAGCGAGAAAGUAUGUGCUGGCUGGCUGUUUUGGAAGUAAGGCUGCGCGAUCCAGCUCGUAUUUCCAUCGCCCAAUUACACAGUGUAAGCGGACAAGCUGGAAGGAAUCGCCACGCCUCCAUAGCUUAGCUCGCGACUAAAGAGCUUGAUUUUUGCAGUGGAAUUUUCCUCGUGAGAGGGGAAUCGCAAAGAGGUUGUGGACAAAAGAGCUCGCGAGAGAUGGCUUUGGAUUAAGGAGUAGCUGUGCAGCUCUGGUCGCUCUUUCACUCGGCGAUGGCGACAAAAGCUUUGUUUAUGUCUUUGCUCCUGUCAGCUGGCUAAAGAGGAGAUGGGAGAAAUAAAUGUACUGUAGCCAUACGCUGGCUGGUACGUACGAGAGAAUACGCUAGAAAAAGUUCUCUACUAUAGCUUGAUCUCGGGCUUGAUCUCGUGAGCUUUUCUUUUUAUCGCGAUGGUGACAAAGAAGAAUUCUUUCUCCUCGUGAUUGAUCAAACAAGCUAGCUUUGGAAAGAGUUUUUUAAGGCGAUCACAUCGCUCUAUAGAGAAGCUUGCCUGCCAUUUGGAGCUGCUAUAAGCUACAGAGCUAAUCAAUAUAGAGGCACCAUGGAAAUCCAAAGCGAUCGAGAUGAUCGAGCGAUGGAUUGUGGUGGAGCGAGCAACAAUCUGUCUCGACCAUCCUGUGAACGAACCACCGAUCGAACGAACAAAACUAAGAACACCCACCAAACUUCCACGGGGGACCGGUUGCUCUCGUGCCUUUCGUGCUAGAAACCCACUGCAAACUUACUACCCACUCGCGGGAUUGAUGGGAACGAACCUGUUAUCCACGCCUAGAUCUUUAAGAACUCCUGGCGAGACGCGACGGAAGCGUGGAGCUCGCCUGCCAGAUCUGCAAGACCCAAGUUAGAAACAGCCCAAGAAGGAAGAACGCCAUGGAUUUGGAGAUCUGGAGAUCUGGAGAGAACCAAAGUUCCUUAUUGAUGCCAGAGUGUGGCAAAAGAAGAGAUGCUACAAAUGCCCGCCAGGAACGAAGCUACAUUAGAGAAUGUAGCUUCCCGCGAGCCCCCUCGUCGCCCCCGCAAGAUCUAAAGAGCCUAACUAGACCCACAAACCAAAAGAGAGAGAACAUACCCAACCAAGAGAGAGAGAGAGAACCUCUUCACAGUAGCAAGAAUGCUGGCUGGAAACCCAAUAGAGAUCUCGAAGAACAAGCAUCGGCUAUGAAGCGAUCGAUCCCUCCGCCCUCUUGAUCCGAAAGUCUUUUAUGACGAACACACCAAAGACGAGUUUUCUUUCUUUUCUUUCUUGCUGCCACUGCUGCUGCUGCUGCUGCUGCUGAUACUGCUGCUGCCGAGCUGAUAGAUUGACCGAGAAGAUCGAGAGAAUAGAGAGAGGAGAGAGCGCGACGAGAACAAUUUUUUUUUCUUUUCCACUUUCAUUUCAAAGAGAGACCUCGAACGAACGAACGAGCGACGAAGGAAGAAUGAUCAUGAUCAUCAGUAAGUGUGGUAUGGAUCCUGCGUGAGCAAUUGCCGGGUCGCGUGCUCCAAGCGGCUGCCAAGAUCCAGGACUUGCUGCUGCUGCUCCAGGCUGAGAUCGUCCACCUCGAGGCCGCCGCCACCAAACGACUUGGUCAGGCGCGCGGCCUCCGCCACCGCCAGCAACACCACCACCAACAUCACCACCGCGAGCACCUUGUUCAGCACCUUCCCGGCCUCCAUUUCUCCGCUUCCUGGAUGAUGGGCGAUUCGAUCUGCUCUGGAAAAGAGGGGAGAGAGAGCUCUCGAGCUCCAAACACCUGUGAGAGUGAGAGAGAGAUCUAGCUCGCUCGAAGAACAAAAGUGAGAGAGAAAGAGAUCGUCUUCUUCUUCGCUUGCUUCCCUGAUUUGCUUUGCUCGCUUUGAUCCUUCACUCUAGCUAGAACUUUGGCGUGGUGCGCGCGAGCUCUCGAGCUCUCGAGCUCUUUUCUUUCAGAGGGUUAAAGCUAUGGUGGUAUUAAAGCCAGAGGAGAAUGGAGAAAAAGCAGCGAGUCCAGCGAGGAAGGGUGGUCGCUUUGUGUGUUUUUGUGGCCAUUAAACGCGUCGUCGCGUGGUGUCGGUCACCGCGGCGCCGGUCGCACGGCAGCCGCGGCGUACGGAAGACGCGGCAAAACCAGAGGAAUCCGAGGCGAAUAUGCCUGGCAUGAUUCUCUUCAGAGCAUAGGAUGCUUGCUCUGACCCCGUGUGUUUGUGUUUUUCCUGUGCAUGAUUGCGUAAUUGAUCCGUUCAUGGGUAGGGAGGGCUUUCUUGUUUCGCCACCUUUUCUCGCGUCAUGAAACAUUGUUGUAAUCAUAGGGAUCACGCUAUGAUGUGAAUGGUUUGUUUUUUUUCGCGCCAAGCAAACGUGAGCGAGUGGAUCACGCGUGUUCGAUCGCGGUGACUUUUGGAACCCUUCCCAUGCAACUUCUCGCGAGUGGCGUUGUUUUGAUUGUUUCAAUCAGCCGGGAAAAGAACCUUGACUUGAUCCAACUCUCGUGCACGUUGUUUCACGAGAUCGCGGUUUCCGGAGAUCUUCUUGUUUACCAUUUCCCUUCGCGAACUUCUAGAAGCCACCUGGCCAAGUUUCUAAUUCUAUAUCGUGGGAUCCCCCGGGGCAACAGUUGGCUCUUGCCGAUCAAUCGCACUAGCAAUAGCAUCAACAAAAGAAGAACAUUUCUAAACAAAAACAAAAACCGGGCGCUCCAGCUACUUCUUAAUGGCCUUUGUGGUUGUCAGCCACCAUUCCUUGAGGAAUUGGCCCGGCCUCUUUUUUUUUCGAUGCUCGACAACUUUGGCAGCGUGUACGGAGGAACAUGACGCCGCGCGGUGUACGGCAAACCGCAGUGCGGUCACUGUGCCGUCCGCCCGCCGGACGCACACCUAGCCGGUCGCAGGGAAUGGCCAUCACCGCCAGCUGGCGAGCAGCAGGCCUUUAACUUUCGGCAGUGUACGGCCAAAACACUAUUAAGUGGCGCACAGCUGGCGGGCAGACAGUUGGCAUCGUUAAGUCGAAACUGGGCCGGUGACGUGGCCUUUGCGUGCGUGGGUUCGAAUCCCUAGACGUUUAUUAGGGCUUAUGGUUAUUGUCCGCCACCUUUGAGCGAGGCAAUCAGUUUCUUCACGCGGGCGACGUCGUCCCAUCGGUUCAGCGUCGCGUACAUGUUUGACAGGGAAAUGUAUGGACCGGCAUUGCCGGGUUCUCGAUCGAUUGCUUUGGCUGCUACUCGCUCGGCGCGAUCUACGUCCUUGUGGUUGCAAGAUGCCCCGAGGAGGGAUGUCCAUGCCACGGCGAACGGGUGAAAGGGCAGGGUUUCGAUCAGGGCCUCGGCUUCUUGCAGCCAUCCUGCUUUGGCGAGCAUGUCAAUAAGGCUACCGUAGUGUUCUUCCUUGGGCUGGAUGUUAUGGUCGGAUACCAUGGAAUUGUAGUAGUAUAUGCCAUCCUCGACCAGGCCGGCGUGUGUGCACGCCGUGAGGACUCCCAAAAGUGUUACCUGGUUGGGCUUGGUGCCUUCCAAGUCCAUCUUUUGGUAGAGCUCGAGGGCUUCGGUGCUAUGCCCCUGUUGAGCAUACCCUGCAAUGGUGCAAGUCCAGGAGAUCUGGUUUGGAGUGGGCAUUCUGUGAAAGAGGGCGAUAGCGUCUUGCAUGCUCCCACAUUUGGUGUAAAGAUUCAAGAGAGCGUUGCAGAGAGAAGUGUCUUGUUCGUCAAAUCCAAGCGAUGCGGCACGCAAGUGGAUGAACUUUCCAUCUUGCAGUGAUCCGAUCGAUCCCAAUGCCUCGAGCAAAACCAUAAAGGUGACGCCGUCGGGCUUGAUGCCCUCGAGAUCCAUUUGGUGGAAUAGCUCGAUCGCGGCGUUGCUAUCUCCAGCCUGGGCAUACGCCGUGAUCAUUGUGUUCCAGGCAAUCACACCCGGACUCGAGAGCUUUUCGAAAGUUUCCAAAGCUUUUGCAACGCUACCACACUUGGCAUACAUGUUUAUCAAGCUGUUGCUCACGAGAGCGUCAACCUUUACAGACGAUUCAAGGAUUUUCUCGUGAAUCAAAACUCCUCGAUCGAGAUCGCCCACAUUCGCGCAAGCCUCGAGGGCACUCAAGAAGACCGGCGUGUCGAGAUCCAAAGGUGGCGACGACGAUCCAAUAGCCUCAAAGAAGAGCUCCAAUGCCUCCUUGCUAUGCCCAUUCUGGGCAUAUGCCGAGAUCAUAGCCGUCCACGUCACCCUCGUUCUUCGUUCCAUGGCAUCAAACACACGGCGCGCCAUGGCGGCGCUCCGGCACCGCCCGUACAGGCUAACCAGCGCGUUCCGUACGGCGAUAUCGCCCUCGAAUCCAGCCGCGGCGGCGCGCUCCUGGACGAAUUUGCCGCGAUCGAUCGACUGAAUGCCGGCGAUCGCGUUGAGAAAUGUGAUCCUGUUGUGCCGGACGCCAUCCAGAUCCAUCGCGCGAAAGAGGAACAGCACCAAAUCCUCGCGCCCGAGCCGGGCGUAAGCGCCAAUCAUCGCGUUCCAGGAGACGAGGGUCUUCUCCUCCAUGGCGUCGAAGAUGGAUCGCGCCAGCUCCAGCGCGCCCAAUCGCGCGAAGGAAUCGAGCAUCACGUUGUCGAGGACGAGAUCGCGGGCGCUGCUGGCGGUGGCCCUGGCGUGGAUCGAGCGGAGGAGGGGAAGAUCCGCGGUCCCAGCCGCGGCGAUGGCGACGAAAGUGGAUCCAUUCGGCUUGACGCCCUCGUGAUCCAUUCUUCGCAGGAGAUGGAUCGCUUGCGCCAGAUGCCCGUUCUGGGCAUAUGCUGCGAGCAUGAUUGUCCAGCUAAAGACGUUGCGAUGCGCGAUCCCAUCGAAGACCAGGCGCGCUUCCUCGAGGCUGGAGCACUUGCCAUACAUCUCCACCAGGAGAUUGAGAAGGAAUGUGUCACUGGAGGAAUGCGUGGAGAUCAGGGACGAGGAGGAGGUGAUGUGGGCGUGAAUCCGGCGCCCCUGCUCGAUCGCCCUGGCAUUGCUGCAGCGCUUGACGAUCCAGGCACACACCCCCCUGUCGCUGCUGGAAUCGAGGCGCUGGAUGUCCUCGUCGAUUCGAUCCAGGCAGCGCCGGCUCAAGACGUGCUCAUCGCUCUUGAGCAUCGCCCUCAAUGAUCCAGAGCGCUAGAGAUUGCACUAGACAUGCUUGAUCGCACGGAAGAUCUCCAUGCCAGCGUCGAGCGAUGGCUGGAUUUGCCAAGAACAUAGCUUCCAUUGUCAAACUAUGACAAGUGAUCCAUGGAUGGCUACUUGCGGGAGAUCCAAGGCUGUGCCUCGCUCGAUCGCGCGAGAGAUCUCCACGCCAGCGUCGACCGCUCGCUGCGAUCUGGGGAUAUCUUCCUCGGCAACAAGAUCAUCGAGAUGUAUGGACGCUGCGGCAGUCCCGGCGAUGCCAGCAGCGCCUUUCGAUCCAUGCCGGUUUGGGAUUCCUUCACUUGGAAUCUCUUGCUUGGUUCUCAUUGCAAGAAUCGCGAUUUGGAGGGCGCUCGAGAUGUUUUCGAUGGCAUGCCCAGCGCGGCCAAGGACAUGGUGUCGUGGAACACGAUUUUUUCUGCAUAUGCCCGCUCGGGGCAACUGUCGGUGUGUCGGGAGAUAUUUGGAAAAAUGCCGGGAAGAGAUCUUGUGUCGUGGAACACAAUGAUUGCUGUCUCUACGCAAGCGGAAACUACGGACCAUGCAAAGGGAAUCUUUGAUGAGAUGAAAGAGAAGAACUUGGUGUCUUGGAACUCUCUUCUUGCGGUAUAUGCCCGAGCGAGGCAUUGGCAAAACGCUAAGGCGGUCUUUUUGGCAAUGCCGCUGCGGGAUUUAGUCGCCUGGAACUCAUUGCUGGCUGCGAGCAAAGAUCUCAAGGAUGGAGUUCAUGUUUUCUUGCAUGAAAUGCCGGAGUAUGAUCAAAUCUCUUCGAACGCAAUGCUAGAUGUUUAUGCUUCUAAUGGGCAUGUUGAAGAGGCCAGGGAGUUUUUUACUGCGAUGCCUUCUCGAGACGUGGUGUCUUACACGACACUUCUUUCGCUAAAUGCCGAGGCUGGGGAUAUAGAAUUUGUGGAAAAGACUUUUGCCGUCAUGCCAGAGUAUAAUUCUGCUUCCAUGAACGCUAUGACUCGUGUGUAUGCGCGAAGUGGUCAUGUAGAUGAAGCCAGGAAGGUUUUUGAUGAGAACCAAUCAAUAAACUUGAUCUCCUGGAACACGCUUCUCACGGCAUAUGCCCAAAAAGGGUAUACUUCGGAAGCAGAGAGCAUCUUCAAAGAGAUGCCGAAGAGAAAUCUGGUGUCUUGGAACGCAAUGCUUGCGGGAUAUGCCCACUUUGGGUAUGUCAAAGAAGCAAAGCUCUUAUUCGAUGAUUUUCCAAAGCGGGACUUGGUAACCUGGAACAUUAUGCUUUCUGCUUUUGCACAAAGCGGGUAUUUGGAGGAAUCAAAAAAAGUAUUUGAUGAGAUGCCACAGCAAAACGUGGUGUCCUUGACGACACUGCUGGGACUCUAUGCCCAACAAGGACGCAUGCAAGAUGUUAAGACAUUGUUUGAAAAGGUGGUGGAGUGGGAUCUUGUUUCAUGGACGUGCAUGUUGAUCAUUUUAGCCGAGAACGGCGAGCUAGACGAGGCAAAGAAACUGUUUGAUAGGUUGCGCGAACGGGAUUUAGUGUGUUGGAACGCCAUCCUUCGUGCCUACUCUCGCCAUGGCCAGGUGUUAGAGGUGGAAAAGAUUUUCCAGCAAAUGCCACAAAAGGAUCUCACGUCUUGGAAUGCGGUUCUAGCUGCGUACUCUCAAACUGGAGGUUUUGAAAAAACCGAGAGGAUGUUUGGACAGAUGCCUCAGUGGGAUGUUCUAAGCUGGAACUCACGCAUGGAUGCUUUCGUCCAAGGUGGUCAUUUAAAGAAGUCGGAAGAAAUCUUUGAUCUGAUGCCAGAGAAAGAUCAGUUUUCGUGGAAUCUCAUCCUCGCCGUGUGGAUUAAGCUCCAUGGUUUGGAGAAAGCGAAACACGUAUUUGAUUCAAUGCCUUUUAGAAAUGUUGCCUCGGGAACGAUGAUGAUAUCUGCAUAUGCCCACGAUGGGCAUCUUGAUCAAUCACUCGUGAUGCUCAGCGUCAUGCCUCAAAGGAACGCCUUCACGUGGAAUGUGAUGCUAGGAGCUUAUACUCAGAAUGGGAAUAUGCUCGCUGGAGAAGCACUUUUUGAGACACUGCCGGAGGAGAACUUAGUGUCAUGGGGUGUUCUUCUCGCUGGUUACACCAACAGUGGCAACCAUGCAACAAGCUUGGAUGUAUUAAAUCGCUUGAAGAUGAUCCAUGUUCCGGAAGAGACGUGUUUCGUCACAGCUUUGAUCUCGUGUAGCUACCUAGGAAGGAUUGAAGAGAGCAAAUCGUGCUUCCUGUCCAUGACGCUCGAUUAUCACAUCAAUCCCAGCAAGCAGCACUACUGCUGUAUCGUAAGCGUCCUCUGCCGCUCGGGGCAUCUGAAUGAUGCUGUGGAGCUUGUCUCGAGCAUGCCUUUCCAUCCCGAUAGGAUGGAGUGGACGUGCUUGCUGGGAGCUUGCAAGAACUUUAAUGAUCUUGCUAGGGGAGCUAAAGUUACUAGCCAAGUUCUUGCACUUGAUCCAGGUCGUGAGACAUCAUAUGUGCUGCUCGCAAACAUAUUUGAAUCGUCUUUGAAACCGAUGAUCACUGACCGAGCUAGAGCUCGACCAUAGAUGAGGUUUUUAUAAGCAUUGGACUUAGCUUCGUUGGACGGAGGUAUAGCAACGACCUUUGAACCGUGGUCUAUGUGACGUCUGAUUUUACUGAUACCAUUGAUUUUUUUCUUCCAGGUAAGAACUAGAAGGAUUUCACGAAGCAACUGAUAUACUAUAUGAAUCUCAUGAGUUGGGAUUUUAUGGAGGGAUCCACAGGACCAUCCUUUUAAAAAGAGAUCAAGCUAGGAGUUGACUGGAGAACAAUUCUAUGCUGGAAACGCCAUGGCGUUUGCAGCGUCGGCUCCAGCAGUGUCAUCGAGACGGCACUACAACCAAGGCCUUGAUUCUGCUCGCUGCAUAGUUCGAUCCAGGAUAUCAUUUCUCAAGCUUCGCCGAGUGAAUGCUAUAGCUCUGGAAGCAGCAGUGAAAGAAGAUCCGGAGCAGUUGUCCCCAUUGAUAACACCAGUAAGUCUCUUGGAUUCACAUUGAGCUCUCAUUUUCCUUGUCUUUGCAGAAACGAACUACAGACUUUCAAACACUCUUUCGGAGAUUUUGCAAAGUUGCUCAACCUUACUGGCUCGACUCCAAGGAGGGAAACCAGGCAAUCCUCCGGUUAGCGAGUGUUUUUGCUCUUACGCUUGCUUCCACGGGGACGAGCGUGGCAUUUAGCUACCUUGGAAGGAGUUUUGACAACGCUUUGACAAGUAAGUGUGUCCAGAUCUAUCAGAUUUCUUUAAACUUUUCUCCAGGUAAGAAUCGAGAGGAGUUUGUCAAGCAGCUGAUCUAUUAUUUGGGGCUUAUGGUCGCAGCACUUCCAGUAAGUCGUUUGAAUGUUUGUGCCUUUUUCAGCGUGUAGUUAACUCGCUUGUCUUCGAGGUUUAUGUAAUCCGCGGAUACGCACGAGACACUCUUGCUCUUCGAUGGCGAUCUUGGAUGACGAAACGCUACAUGGCUCAGUAUUUUUCUCAGAGAUCCUACUAUAACAUUCAAUCUCUGGCACUCAUGGACAAUCCAGAUCAGAGAGUUGUGGACGAUAUCGGCUCGUUCACUCGCACGGCACUUAUAUUUACCAUGACUUUGUUCCAUUCCAUCACCGAUCUGGCGUCUUUCAGCGGAAUUCUAUACAGGAUUUAUCCACCACUGUUUGGUGUCUUGCUUGUUUACUCCAUUGGUGGCACUGGAAUUAGUUUCCUACUUGGAAAGGUAUGAUUUUCAUCUUUUUGUUUUCAGCGAGUUCGUUCUGUUUCCUUGCAGGAUCUCAUGAACUUGAAUUUCGUCCAAGAAAAGAGUGAGGCAGAUUUUCGAUUUGGAUUGGUAAGAGUUCGAGAAAAUGCAGAGUCCAUCGCGUUUUAUGGGGGAGAAAAGGAUGAGCUUCAGUUGCUGCUGGAACGUUUUAAGCAAGCUUUUUCCAACUACAGUGUAAGUUUUGCUGGUUUUUCCAUUGUCAUUCUUUCGACAGUGUAAGCUACUGCAUUGUCUUUGCAGAAACUACUCAUAGCUUCGCGAAACCUAAGAUUUUUCCAAAUUUUUUACACCAACUUGAUCCAAAUCCUGCCCGCCGCCGUGGUGGCUCCGUUCUACUUUGCUGGAAAAGUCGACUUUGGGAUCGUCAGUCAGUCUUUCCAUGCUUUCAGCUCCGUUCUCUACGACCUCUCCUUGGUCGUGGAGGAGUUUCAAUCGCUUAGUUCCUUCUCCGCGGUUGUAGAUCGCCUUGGUACAAUUUCCUUCGUUUGCUUGGUUCUCUUCGACCUACCUUUACAUUCACAGGUGAAUUCAGUGACAUAUUGGAUCAACAAGGCGUAAUGAAUGCUUCGGAGCUAAGCACCAUCAAAUCGAUCGAGACCACGGAAAGCGAGGUUCUUAUAGAAGUUUCGACCUUGACACUGUUGUCUCCUCAACACACACUGACUCUUGUCGAGGGGCUCUCUUUCAGGAUGAUCGCUGGACAAAAUCUUCUGGUCUGUGAAUUUCUCAAAGUUUCUUCGUUGCUAUCAGAUGAAUAACUCGGGUUUAAGACCAGGUAACUGGCCCCAGUGGAAGUGGCAAGACAUCGUUCUUAAGAGCUAUCGCAGGACUAUGGAAAUCCGGGCAAGGAACCAUAGCAAGAAACUCUACCAUGGAUGUAUUCUUCGUGCCGCAAAAGCCAUACAUGACUCUUGGAACACUCCGGCAACAAUUGCUAUAUCCAACUUGGAGCACAGACGAGGAGAAAAAACACGAUCAAGGUAGCGAGAAUUUUUGGUCUUUUACACGUGAAUCUAUCACAAGUGUGCUCUCAUGAUCCAGAAUCCAAGCACAGCGAUGCCGACUUGAUGGAAAUCUUGCGUAGAGUGAAGCUUGAACAGCUCCUGGAACGCUCGUUUCACUUGGACGCGAAUGCCGACUGGUCCAGUGUCUUGUCACUGGGAGAGCAACAGCGCCUGGCUUUUGCUCGAUUGCUUCUAUCAAAACCAAAGCUUGCGCUCCUGGAUGAAGCAACCAGUGCCAUAGACGAAGCAACUGAGGUAAAAGCUUGUCUCUUUGGUUCUCUUCUAAGAUCUAGUCACUCUACGCAGGCUUACUUGUAUCGACUUCUCCUAGAAUCGGGAACUUGUGUGAUGAGCGUUGGGCAUCGCAGCACGCUUCGCGAAUUCCACACACACUUGCUUUUCUUUUCCCCGCAAAUCUCCGGGACGAGUAUCUCGGAGUGGUCAUUACAAGACCUUCCUCAAAGAACCAACUUUUAGUAGCAAUAGUUCUUCGUCCAUUGAAGUGAAUAAGUGGAAGACUGGCCAUGGUGUUAGCCAAUACUUUAGGCCAAUGGUUGGUUAUGGCGUGCAAUGUGAACAAUUUCGCGCACCACAUCACCUCACCAUGACCUCAAGGUCAUGGGACCAACCAUGCACCUCAUGGAUGACUCAUGGAUGUAGUCAUACAUGCAUUUGGAUGACCCAUCGACCUCAUCCUCUUGAAUCUGCUACCACACAAUGGAGGUUUGCAUAGCAGCAGCGGCAGACUUGGUAUGCAUUGGCUUUCAGCACUCAAUGGAGGCACCUCAGAAAUGAUAAGUUUUACUUAGAGGUAUACUGAUGCUUUAGUCUAGGUGUUCACAAUAUGGGCAAUCUUUACUGUUGAAAAGCUCAUCACAUGCAUGGAGUUUGAUCUAGAGUUUUCUCCCAUUAUGUGGGAGUAAUUGCAAGAAACAAUAAAUUAUAAGGUAAAUAUGCACAUUUUUAUAUUUUAUUUCCAUAUUCCAUUCAUUUAUAUUAGUGGUAAUUUUGAUUGUCCCUGCAAAAUGUUUGGAUUUGUGCUUUUGGUUUAGAUUUAACUUUUAUAUUAUCUAGAUCUCUCUUUUCUUGUAGCUUUUUCAAAUUUUUUUUCUUUUUUGGCAAAGAACCAACCUCCUCUUACUGACAAAAUGGCUUACAAAAUUCCAUAACUUCAUAACUGCAAACAGGUUUUCAGAGGCCUAUACUUGUUGAAAUAACAUCCUAGAAGCUAUUUGAGGAUACAGCUUAUUAGAUUGAUUCAAUAUUCCAUAGAUUCGCAUAAAUACAAAAGGACUCACUUCCUUUCCCCAAAGGAAAUCUGAGAAAAUGCAACUUGUAAUGCAUCCAAUUGUGUUUUGUGAUUUGGGGACUGAUGCUUAUUUGGGGCCUUUGAGUCUUCAUACUUUGGCACUUUGUCAGAGUUAAAAUCUUCUUGAGCUGUGACAUAGCCUUCCUCACCGUUGGACAGCCGCAUGCCAUUUGCUAAAAGGACCUACCACCCCACUCUUGCAGCCAAAGCUGAGCUUCAUUGGAGUUAAAGCCCCUCUAAUGGGCUUUACCUGCUUCAAUCUAAGGGGUAGACAAUGAGAGAUUCCAAAAACUUUACGUAGUGCCCAGCAAACGGCAGAUAAAGGGAAAGUUUGACCUAUACUUAUUUAAACCCUAAAAUUUUUCAAUGCCUAAAGAAUCAUGUUUAGAUAACUUGGACAUCAUUCACACGAACAGAUUUGAAGGGACCCAAGCUCACUCCUUGUUACCAUGAAUAACAAAAUUUAUAUGAAAUGGAAGCAUGGAAGCAUAAGUAAGACUAUAACUAUCUUUAUCUAGACUUAGUUACUUAUGUAUAUUGUCUCAUUUCCAUAUUGCACACAACACUCAAAGGAAACUCUGAUCAAGAUGGUAAGAAUAUAUAUAAGUGGAAAGGAAGAUCUCAAAAGAUGUUAGAACAAAUGUAGUGGAAGGAAAUACGACUGGACUUAAUCUCAAACUUCAUAACUCACUAGAUUUCAAAAAGAAACUCCUUCACUGCAAAGGUGGAUCUCAGGCUAUUACUAUCUAAAAGAUCUACUAUUGCUUUCUAGUAAUAGAAGGUCUUAACUAGUGCUCUUGCAAGUAGUCUAGAAAUCAUAGUUUUGGGAAUGAAUAUAAUCUCAUGAAGGGUUUUGCAACAAAAGAAUUGGAAAAAAGUGUAAGGGAUAUGCGGGAUUGUAGUAUAUAUGUGCAAGAAUGGAUGAAGAAGCACUUUAGUGGCUUUCCUAAAGUCAUGAACAGCUUGAAUGGAUGGAGGUGAUAUGCCAAUAAUGCCCAUAUCUGACCAUCCAUGCACAUUGCAUCAAAAUGUAAAAAUAUUGAUUAUCUAGGUUUAACCCUGUAAAAAUGCAUAAUUUUGGAUUAUUAUUAUGUGCUACUCAAAACAAGGAAGGAAUUAGCAUAGGAAUCAUACUACAUAUCUUUGGCAAAGUAAAACUUUAAACUCUGCAUAAAAAAGGUCUAAGGGUAUCCUUGCAACAAUGUUUUGACUAUACUGUGAAACCAAUAAAUAUAUUAAAGAAAAAAAUAGUAUCAUUACCCAAGUUCCCGCUCCAUAGGUUAAAAUAAACUAGUAAGAACAGAAGAAGCUCUAAUAUAUUCACCAUUUUAAAAUGCUUAAACCAUAUAAACGUUCUAAAUUGCAACCCAAUGUGCAAGGUCCUUAGCAAUAUAAAAUGUAAAUAUGCAUCUCAAGCUCUGUAUGUGCUAUAUAUUAGACAUAUCUAAAAUGUCAAUGUCCUCCAUUAACUCAAAUAACUACCUAUAAAACCAUAUCACUCUCUUGUAAAGCUCUUUCUAGAGACUAGAGAUACUCAAUAAAACACAAAAAAAUUAAAACUUUAGACUGCAUAUUUAUAUCUGGUUUCAUAUUGGCCAGCUUGAGAGGCUUAUUCUAUUUAUAUCCCUUUCCACAUUAUUAGCUUUUAGUAUGUGAUCAUUCUUAAUUUAUUUUUGUCAAUCAAAUUUACAAAUAGCAUGUAUAUAGGUGUUGAAGAUUGCAUACAACUAAUGUAGUAUGUUAUACUAUGAAUCAUGGCAUAGACAUAAAAUCUAUAUGAUACUAGUUAACAAUAUACUAUAAAAAGAUGAUAACAUCAAAAAGAUUGAAAACCAAAUAAAAAACUCACAAUCUAUAUAGCAUAGUGCAUAAGGCACUUCAUUAGUGUAUAUCUACCUUCAAAUCUUAGAUAAAUGCAUGUGUGUGAGCUUUGUAAGGUUGUGUAUAACUAAAGCUUUGCAAAUUUAAUGUCAGCUAAAAUAAUAUUCUAUUAUUUGACAGCUUGAGUGAGAUUUCACAAUCCCCUAGGUAAUACCUUCAUGUUCAUAGCAAUGCUAGUGUGGACAUAAUGAAGUACCUUUGGUGGUGCUAUCUUAUAGUACACACUUCUUUAGUUUGCAUUAACAAACUUCAUAUAUUUGUACAAUGUUAACUUUGAAAUUUGUAGACAACAUGCCAAGUAAUCUAUAAUCUUAGUUUCACAAAUCUCACAAAUCUCCAAGUAAUCUAAUUUUUUAAAUAAAAUUAGAAUGCUAAAACAUCUAGAAUCAACAAAAUGUUAGAAUUCUUACAAUUAAAUGUUACUCUUAACAGGAAGUUAUAUACCUCUAUGUAUUAUUCCUUGUUACCACUCUCAAAUGUUGAAGAAGAGUCUGAAUCAUAUGAGAUAGAUCCACUUACCUGGUAAAAUUCUCAAGCAAGUAUCAUCUAUAACAAAGUAGUUUGAAAUUGACAAAAGAAACUUAUUUAUGUUUCUUGUAUAUUCUAUAUAUCAAAACCUCCUUACAAAUUCUGUCAUACAAAGAAAAUAGCCAUUUAGUUGUUUUGAUUGUUAUAUGCAUAAUAGUCAUAUAUGGCUGACCAUUGGAACCAUUUUAUCACAUUAGAUGCCCAUUGAAUGUACAUAAUAGCAACAUAAUUAUGGUGGCCGAGGAUAUAACAUUGUGCAAAUAUGAACUUUUUUCAUGCAGCAAGGUUUACAAAUAACAAAACACUGCUAGGACUCUAUGCCCAACAAGAAUACAUGCACGACAUUAAAACAUUGUUUGAAAUGGUGGAUGAGUGGGAUCUUGUUGUUGAUCAUUCUAGCUGAGAAUGGCGAGCUAGAAUAGGCAAAGAAACUGUUUGAUAGAUUGUGCAAACGGGAAUUAGUGUGUUGGAACGCCAUUCUUCAUACCUACUCUCGCCAUGGCCAGGUUUUUGAGGUGGAAAAGAUUUUCCAGCAAAUGCCACAAAGGGAUCUCACAUCUUGGAAUGCAGUUCUCGCUGCGUGCUCUCAAUGUGGAGAUUUUGAAACGACAGAAUGGAUGUUUGUACAGAUGCCGCAGUGGGAUGUUCUAAGUUUGAACUCACGCAUGGAUGCUUUCGUCCAAGGUGGUCAUUUAAACAGGUCAGAAGAAAUCUUUGAUCUAAUGCCAGAGAAAGAUCAGUUUUCGUGGAAUCUCAUCCUUGCAGUGUGGAUUAAGCACCGUCAUAUGGAGAAUGCCAAACCUUGUGUUGAUUCCAUGCCUUUUCGAAAUGUUGCUUCGGGAACAAUGGCAUAUGUCCAAGAUGGGCAUCUUACUCUUGAUGUUCAGCGUCAUGCCUCAAAAAAACGCCUAAUCAGAAUGGGAAUAUGCUCGCUUUGAGACACUGCCGGAGGAUGGCAACCAUGCCACAAGCUUGGAGGUAUUAAAUCGCUUGAAGAUGAAUCAUGUCCCGGAAGAGACGUGUUUCGUCUCCUCUUUGAUCUCGUGUAGCUACCUAGGAAAGAUUGAAGAGAGCCAAUCGUGCUUCCUGUCCAUGACGCUCGAUUAUGAUCAAGCAGCGCUGUAUCGUAAGCGUCCUCUGCCGCUCGAGGCAUCUGAAAGGUGCUGUGGAGCUUGUCUCGAGCAUGCCUUCCAUCCCGAUAGGAUGGAGUGGUGGGAGAUUGCAACAACUUCAAUGAUCUUGCUAGGGGAGCUAAAGUUACUAGCCAAGUUCUUGCGCUUGAUCCAGGUAAACAUCAUAUGUGCUGCUCGCAAAUAUAUUUGAGUCGUCUUUCAAACGGACGAUAGAACAGGUUUUUAUAAAUAUUGGAGCUGGCUGCGUAUAGCAACGCCCUUUGAACCGUGGUCUUCUGAUUUUACUGAAGAACCGGGAAGGAUUUCAAGAAGCAAGUGAUCUACUAUAUGGGAUAUUUUAUCGCUGCUCUUCAAAAACGUUUUACUUUAUCUUUUAGUUCAGGUUUAUAUGAUCGAUGGCGAGUUCAGUUUUUCCUGAGAGGUUCUACUACAACAUCCACAGUUUGAGAAUGCUGAUCAAAGAGUUCUUUUCAGCUCCAUUAUCACUGAUCUUUUCCCUUUCAGCAGUAUUUGUAGAAGAUCUAUCCACCAGUCCUGACGCACUGGAAUUAGUUUCGUUCGUGGUAUGUUUCUGAUGAAAGUUCUGGUCAAUCUCGUGAGUUGGAAUUUUUAUGGACCAUCCUUUGAAAAAGAGAUCAAGCUAGGAGUUGACUGGAGAAAACUUCUAUGCUGGAAACGCCAUGGCGUUUGCAGCGUCGGCUCCAGCAGUGUCAUCGAGACGGCACUACAACCAAGGCCUUGAUUCUGCUCGCUGCAUAGUUCGAUCCAGGAUAUCAUUUCUCAAGCUUCGCCGAGUGAAUGCUAUAGCUCUGGAAGCAGCAGUGAAAGAAGAUCCGGAGCAGUUGUCCCCAUUGAUAACACCAGUAAGUCUCUUGGAUUCACAUUGAGCUCUCAUUUUCCUUGUCUUUGCAGAAACGAACUACAGACUUUCAAACACUCUUUCGGAGAUUUUGCAAAGUUGCUCAACCUUACUGGCUCGACUCCAAGGAGGGAAACCAGGCAAUCCUCCGGUUAGCGAGUGUUUUUGCUCUUACGCUUGCUUCCACGGGGACGAGCGUGGCAUUUAGCUACCUUGGAAGGAGUUUUGACAACGCUUUGACAAGUAAGUGUGUCCAGAUCUAUCAGAUUUCUUUAAACUUUUCUCCAGGUAAGAAUCGAGAGGAGUUUGUCAAGCAGCUGAUCUAUUAUUUGGGGCUUAUGGUCGCAGCACUUCCAGUAAGUCGUUUGAAUGUUUGUGCCUUUUUCAGCGUGUAGUUAACUCGCUUGUCUUCGAGGUUUAUGUAAUCCGCGGAUACGCACGAGACACUCUUGCUCUUCGAUGGCGAUCUUGGAUGACGAAACGCUACAUGGCUCAGUAUUUUUCUCAGAGAUCCUACUAUAACAUUCAAUCUCUGGCACUCAUAGACAAUCCAGAUCAGAGAGUUGUGGACGAUAUCGGCUCGUUCACUCGCACGGCACUUAUAUUUACCAUGACUUUGUUCCAUUCCAUCACCGAUCUGGCGUCUUUCAGCGGAAUUCUAUACAGGAUUUAUCCACCACUGUUUGGUGUCUUGCUUGUUUACUCCAUUGGUGGCACUGGAAUUAGUUUCCUACUUGGAAAGGUAUGAUUUUCAUCUUUUUGUUUUCAGCGAGUUCGUUCUGUUUCCUUGCAGGAUCUCAUGAACUUGAAUUUCGUCCAAGAAAAGAGUGAGGCAGAUUUUCGAUUUGGAUUGGUAAGAGUUCGAGAAAAUGCAGAGUCCAUCGCGUUUUACGGGGGAGAAAUGGACGAGCUUCACUUGCUGCUGGAACGUUUUAAACAAGUUUUUUCCAACUAUAGUGUAAGUUUAUUUUUCUGGUUUUCCAUUUAAUUUUUUAAAAAGUGCUGCAUUGUCUUUGAAGAAACUACUCAUAGCUUCACGCAACUUGAGUUUUUUCCAAGUUUUCUAUAGCAACUUGAUCCGAAUACUGCCCGCUGCCGUGGUGGCUCCGUUCUACUUUUCUGGAAAAGUCGACUUUGGGAUCGUCAGUCAGUCUUUCUAUGCUUUCAGCUCCGUUCUCCGCGACCUUUCCUUGGUCGUACAAGCGUUCCAAUCGCUUAGUUCCUUCUCCGCAGUUGUCGAUCGCCUGGGUAUACUCUUUUCUUCGUUUGCUUGAUUCUCUUCGAACUAAAUUUACAUGCACAGGUGAAUUCAGUGACAUAUUGGAUAAAAAAGGCGUAGUGAAUACUUUGGAGCUGAGCACCAUCAAAUCGAUCGAGACCACGGAGAGCGACGUUCUUAUAGAAGUGUCGACCUUGACUCUCUUGUCUCCUCAACACACUCUGACUCUAGUCGAGGGGCUCUCUUUCAGGAUGAUCACUGGACAAAAUUUCCUAGUAUGUGAAUUCUUAUAUUUUCUACUUUGUUAUCAGAUCACUAACACGGCUUUAAAACCGACCAGAUAACUGGCCCCAGUGGAAGUGGCAAGACAUCGUUCUUGAGAGCUAUCGCAGGACUUUGGAACUCCGGGGGAGGAACCAUAGCAAGAAACUCUACCAUGGAUAUAUUCUUCGUGCCUCAAAAGCCGUACAUGACUCUUGGAACGCUCCGGCAACAAAUUCUAUAUCCAACUUGGAGCAAAGACGGGGAGAAAAAACACGAUCAAGGUAGCGGGUCUUUUACACGUGAAUCUAUCACAAGUGUGCUCUCAUGAUCCAGAAUCCAAGCACAGCGAUGCCGACUUGAUGGAAGUCUUGCGUAGAGUGAAGCUUGAACAGCUCCUGGAACGCUCGUUCCACUUGGACGCGAAUGCCGACUGGUCCAGUGUCUUGUCACUGGGAGAGCAACAGCGCCUGGCUUUUGCUCGAUUGCUUCUAUCAAAACCAAAGCUUGCGCUCCUGGAUGAAGCAACCAGUGCCAUAGACGAAGCAACUGAGGUAAAAGCUUGUCUCUUUGGUUCUCUUCUAAGAUCUAGUCACUCUAUGCAGGCUUACUUGUAUCGACUUCUCCUAGAAUCAGGAACUUGUGUGAUGAGCGUUGGGCAUCGCAGCACGCUUCGCGAAUUCCACACACACUUGCUCUUCUUUUCCCCGCAAAUCUCCGGGACGAGUAUCUCGGAGUGGUCAUUACAAGACCUUCCUCAAAGAACCAACUUUUAGUAGCAGUAGUUCUUCGUCCAUUGAAGUGAGACUGGCCUUUGGGAAUGCGAGCAAGCAAGCGCUUUGCAGUCUUCUACGUUCUUGCAAGAGUGUGGCGGAGCUCCAGCAGCUCCAUGCAACGAUCUGGGAUGGGCAGGAGACCCUGCUCGGGAACGUCUUGGUUGAGAUGUAUGGCAAGUUUGGAGCUGUGGACGAAGCGGGUGCGGCGUUUGAUAGCAUCCAGCGUCCAAACGUCUUCUCGUGGAACAACAUCGUCACGGUAUAUACACAGAACGGUUUUUUGGAGCGAGCGCACAGCGAGUUCGACGCCAUGACCGAGAGGAACUCCGUGUCCUGGAACAUAAUGGUGACGGGCUAUGCCCAAACUGGGUAUCUCACACAAGCUGAGGCUUUGCUCGAGAAAAUGCCACAGUAUGGAGUGGUUUCGCUCAGUGCUAUGGUUGUCGGCUUUUCCAGGAGUGGCCAAACCGACCAAGCAGAGGCUACUUUCGAGAGAAUUAUUCAGCGUAAUAUCAUAACUUGGACUGGGUUUCUAACUGGAUAUGCCCAGUGCGGGUAUAUCCAUGAAGCUUACGGGAUUUUUAAGAGAAUGCCAGCGUGGAACGUUGUCUCAUGGACUGCUAUGAUCGACUUGCUGGGUCAGAUGGGUCAGCUCGAGAACGCGAAGACUCUUUUUGAUCGGGUUCCAGAGCUCAAUGCUGUGUCUUGGACGGCCAUGGUUGCUGCUUAUGCCGCGAAUGGGCAUAUCCGAGAGUGUCGAGAUUUGUUUGAUGAUAUGCCCGAGCGCGGUAUAGUAACUUGGAACGCCAUGCUUGCUGGAUUUGGGUCGAGUUUGCAAGCGGGAGAAGCGAGGAGAGUUUUUGGAAGAAUGCCUUGGCACAACUUGGUCUCGUGGAAUACCAUGCUUGCUUUGGUUGCUAGGAACGCUGGAAGCCUGGAAGGAUUGGAUAUCUUCCAUGGAAUGCCUGCGAGGAACUGUAAAUCGUGGAACCUUGUAGUCCAUUGCCAUGCCGCGAAUGGAGAUAUGGGGGACGCCGGCAAGCUUGUGUAUAGAAUGCCGCAGCACAGUGUAGUGACUUGGACUUCCAUGGUCGUUGGAUAUUCCUGCAAGGGAAGAGUUGACGAGGCGAUUUCCUUGUUUGACUGGAUUCCAGAACGGAAUGUUGUGACCUGGACGGGCUUGCUUGCCGGAUAUGCCCAAGUAAGUGAUGUGGGUGAAGUGUUUCGCAGAAUGCCGGCCCAUAACGUGGUGUCAUCGACGGCUGUGAUUGAUGCCUACGGCCAGAAUGGCCACCUGGUGGCGGCCAAGGAGCUGUUUGACCGGCUCCCGGAAGCCAACGAGUUGACUUUGAUAGCCAUGCUGGGGGCAUAUGCUGCCAAGGGAUGCGCAUCCGAGUCCAAGAGGCUGUUUGACUCUUCGCCAUCGCAGAGCGUGCUUACGUGGAAUACAAUGGUGUCCACGUACGGAAAUAGCCUCGAGCUCUGUGCCGCAAUGGCCAUGUUUGAGAAGAUGCCCAAGCACAACACUGUGUCGUGGAACGCAAUCGUUACGGCAAAUGCCAGGAAUGGGCAUUUGGGGGAAGCUAGGAUGAUUUUUGACACGAUGCCAUAUAGGAGCUCAAGGUCGUGGAGCGUGAUGAUCGAUUCAUAUGCGCUGAGUGGCCAGUGUUUUGAGGCAGUCGAGAUGCUUACACUCGUGAUGUGGGAGGGUUUUGUGCCAGAUGAGAGUGUAUUUACAGGUGUUCUUGCUGCCUGCAGCCACCAAGGCUUGCUCGAACUCGGUAUAAGGCUGUUUUCGUUGAUGGUGAGAGAUUACUCCAUUGCUCCAGCACUAGUACACUUCAAGUGCCUAAUUGCAUUGCUGACUCGAGCUGGGCAACUUGAUAGUGCAGAGCAGCUUCUCAAUGAAAUGCCCUACCAUCCAGAUGAAGUUGCAUGGGUGACACUCCUUGCCGGCUGUAGCUCACACUUUGAUGUGGGACGAGCGUCCUAUGCCACUUGCAAUUCUAGUGCUCUGCACGUGUUGCUAGGAAAUGUGUACGAUCAGCAAACAUUUCAAAUGAGUUUCUAAUCUUUUAAAUCUUGCGUCCCUCCAUAAGGCGGAAUAAGGAUGAACAGUUUUUUUUGGCCAUGAUCCACCUGAUCCUCGCCAGAUGAUUCUUGGCGAACCUGAGCCGAUUCAGCACUCCACGGACGAGCGUGGCAUCGGUGGAGGCUCGUGCUGGCCGCUACAAUCAAGGGUAAGCAUCCUCAAUCUGCAGAAUUUGCAACUCCAGCACCAGAAAUAUUAUGUCCAAAAUCAUUUUUGGACACAUGUACAAUAAACAUCUUGCCAUUUGUAUUGCAAUUGCUUCUUCAUCCUUUUAAUCUUUCAUUUAUGUUCUUCUCCCAAAAGAUGAAUUUUCUCAUAUGAUCAAAUAUGAUUACUAAUUAGGGUGAAAAUUUAUUUGAUAAUAAGUCAAUGUCAUAAAGGAAAAUGCUCAUUGUAAAAAAAAAUUUUCAUUAGAACACUUAAACACUCUAUUACAAAUUAAUUUGUGUAUGUUCCAGUUUGGAUCAAUUGAUCACAAAUAUACAACACUAUCAAGCAUGAAAUAUGCAAAUCUACUUUUGCUUUCUAAUAUCAUUCAUUUAACUUGGAAAUCAUCAGCACCCUAGUAACAUUUGAAAAGGCAUAUUCUCCCAACACCAUCAUCCCUUUCUCCUCUAUUACAAUUACCCAUUUAGUGAAAGAUGUUCAUCUCCAUUUUUCACAGUAGUAGUGCUGCAAUGUGUGCCAUGCCUUGAAAGCAAUAGGAGAAUCCUUGACCUUCCUCCCAUGGAACUCUCUUGAUCAACUUGCAUUAAAGCUCUUUUAGCUUUAUACAAGCUCAGCACCUUUAAUUCUUGUUUCUGGAAACAUGUGUCCAAACUGGUACAAAAGUUCCUCGCAAGGAAGCUUCUUUGAAAUGGCAAAGGCGGCUUGUAUGAAGGAUAAGCAGGAGAAGCAGGAGAAUUGGUAAAAUGGGGCUUGAUCCAAAGGAUGGGGGGUUUCCCAUGGUUCAGGAUUUGGUUGAGUCUGGCAUUGAUGAAGUGCCUCAGCGAUUUGUGAAGCCAGCGGAAGAGCGGUCAUUCUCUGCAGCAAGGACGGAAGAUGAUGAGGUUCCAGUUAUUCACGUAGCAGAGCUUGACACAGCUGAAGGCAUCGCUAAGCUCGACAGCGCUUGCCGAGAUUGGGGAUUUUUCCAGGUGAGAUCUGCUCAAAAAUCCAUGACUAACAUCUGGUUCAGCUGAUUGGACAUGGCAUCCCUCCGGAGUUGCUUAAACAGGUGAGGAAGACUGUGAGGGACUUUUUCCGGUUGCCCCGGGAGCAGAGGGAAGCAUAUGCUAUUCGCUCUGAUGCACCAUCUCUAGCCAGCCAGGAAGGAUACGGAAGAUUCUUCGUUCCUUCGGAGGAGACUGUGCUCGACUGGGGCGAUUCUGUUUAUCAUUUUCUUCCUCCCAUAAGGAAUUGGCCAAGAAAUCCUCCAGAGUACAGGUAACAUUUUUGAGAACUUUCAGCGUCGUUCUGAAUUCCACUCUACAGGAAAGUCGUGGAAGAGUACGGCCAGGAGAUACGGCCUCUGGCAAUCAAACUGCUACAAUGCAUGGCAGAGGCAUUGGGGCAACGUGCCAGUUUUUUCUCUGAAGCUUUCGGUCCUAGUCCUCAUUAUGCGAUCAGGCUGAACUAUUAUCCGCCUUGUCCACAGCCAGAGCUUGUGAUUGGCCUCAGCCCUCACUCCGAUCUCGUGGGUCUUACCGUUUUGCUCCAAGAUGAGGUGGAAGGCCUGCAGGUUAAGAAAGGCGGGCAGUGGAGGAGCGUCAGGUCCAUCCCAGACGCGUUUGUGGUGAAUGUUGGAGACACGGUUGAGGUGAGUGCAUGAGGAUUCUCAGCUUUGGUUCAUAGUUAAAGCUAUGGUGCAUGGUUUUUGUUGCGUCCCAGAUACUAACGGAUGGAGCUUACAAGUGGAGCACAGAGCUGUCGUCAAUAAGGAAUGCUCUCGGAUCUCCAUUGCAACAAUUUACGGUCCUGGCCGCGACAGGAAGUUAAAGCCAAUUACCUCGGAAGAAAUGCCACCUUUGUACAAGGAAGUCUCUAUGGCAGAGCUCCUCGAAGCGUUCGUCAAUGGAAAACUGAAUGGUAAGGGGCAUCUCCAGUUUGUCAGAAUAGGAUGAGGAAGUAUUAUGACAAAAAUAAAAUAAUGUGACAAUACAGUAAAUUAUAUAAAGAUAUAUAUAUGUAUUGAAUGUUUGGAAAGCUAUUUUACUUGUAUAAAAGAACAAUGCCCUUUAAAGUGUCAAAAAUACAUGAUAUGCAUGAGUCUGAAUUAUUUUUAUUUUCAUUCAUUCAUUAAUUGUUUAUAAAGUUUGUGUUGCCCUCUAAGAAGCAUGAAACUGAUACAUUAUAAUAUGCUUGUACGUUUUAUGCCUUCAGCUAUCAGUACACCUCUCAAGGAGAGUGGACUCACAAAUUGAUAUUUUAAAGGAUUUUUUUUUAAUGCAUGAGCAUGCAUUGAUGCCUAUACAUGGCAAAGUCUAAGUAAUACUGUGUAUGCAAUUUUUUUGCAUUAUAUAAAUUUCAACUCUAUAUCAAUUUUUUUGACACAUUAGGUUCAAAAUUAGGGUUUAUAGGCAUGAUGUUUGCUAGUGGGCAAGCUAGAUUUUUUAGUGCAUUUUGGAUACCACAUAUUAAGCUCGUGUUUAAAGCUAUUUCCUUGGUGAAGGUAAUGAAAAACAUUUUAUGCAACAAAACAUUAUAAUGUUAAAAUCUUUAAUGCAUGAUUAAGAUUGCAAAAAAUCCAUUUGAGAACAAACAGUAUAAAAAAGCAUUAAAACUAUUUCAAACCAUGCAAUCCAAGGGCUAUAUGCCAAAUUUUUGAAGAUAUGUGACUGCUCUUAAGGCAUGCUCAAGUUUUAAGUGCUAGAGAAGAAAGCAAAAAGAUGGAUGGAGGUUUUGUGAAAUUGGUGGCAUUGAAGUAAGGCAUGGCUUUGUACUGCUAGGCAACAAAAGUAGUAACGGGGACUUAAAGCUUGUAGCAGCAUUAGGGCCUAAUAGCUAGGACAAAGAGAUGAUGUGGAAAUUUGCUACUGUGGACUAGAGAACAACCAAGUCACAGUGAUGUGUUUAGUUGACUUCUACUACAAAUUUAGAAAUGUGGUCUCAACUCAACAGGUUUUUAACUCAAUGCCAUUUAAAGAUCUUGUGGCCCAGAUGGCACUUAUAGUUGGACUCGAUCACCAAGGAGAUGCUGCCUCCAUGUUUGAAAACUUUAAUAGCAUAUAAGAUCCUAGCAUUCAUCUUGAUAGCUUUAUAUUCUUCUCGAUCAUCAAUGUUUGUAAUCAUGUGGGGUUUGUGAAACAAGGAAAGGAGUGCUUCUAUGCAAUAGAGAUGAAGUAUGAGAUCUGUCCUACGCAUGAACACUAUUAUGGAAUGAUUGAUCUCUUGGGAUAAGUAAAUCACUUGGAUGAGACAAUGAUGGUGUAUGAGUAAGUUGGAAAGAUUGCAUACAAUGCUUUAGUGAAGAUCAAUAAGAGGAACAAAGUUGCAUAUACACUUAUAACUAAUCUAUAUAAAAACUAACAUUUCCAUGCUUGCUAAAGGAACAAAAGUUGGCAGUUGUGACCAAGAAAGCAUUAAUAGGCAUUCCAUUGUAAUAUAUAAUGCUGUGACAAAAUGAGAAGCUCUCAUUCAAUACCUCAAUUAUGGUGAUAGUGCUUCUUGUCCCACUACUCCACAUAUCACUCAUGGAUUUCAUCUUUACAUGACAUUAUAAAAGUAAAAGAAGAGUUCUAGAAUAUUUAUUUCACAUAAUAUUGCAUACUUGCUUGUGUGAAAUUUAUAUUAUAUAAUUGUUUGUGUAAAACCUUCACUAGAUUUGUGGUGACAUCAUGUUAUCUUGGAUGACAUGGCAUCAGUCUUAUGUGGCAGUUUAAAGUGUCAUGCCUCAUACAUCUAUGAUAUACCUUAUGACAAAAAUAUUAUACACAUAAUCACAUUUUGUUUAUAUAACAAUCAAAAGUGAUUGUGUGCAUAAUAUUUUUGUAUGCAACUCAAAACAAAAAAAUAAAUUCUCAGAUGUGUAAAUAUAUAAUGCUCUCACAAACAAUCAUAUAUUUGUUGCCACGCUAUGGCUGGGCACCAAAUUAAAUUUUGAUAUUUACAAAAACACAAAUAAUAUUGUGUUUGUAUGUAAGAUGUUGUGAAAGUAAGCUUGAAUCAGACACAAUGGUUGAAACUGUAUGAGCUGCUUAAACUUGAGCAUUUGAUCACAAAACGAGAUCCAUGCUGGUCGCUAGUGCCCAACAUCACCAAUGAUCUUGGAUAGAAUCUAUUCACUUCCGUUGCACCUCUGGCUAGCGAGACCUUGACUUUUUAUAUCGAUCCAUGAGGAUCAUGCCAAACGUCUUCCACUGUGCCGCACUUGUGAGAUGAGGAUUUAUCACUGACGUGAUCAAAGAUGAUGUAUACCUGUCGAGUAAAGCUUGAGAGAUUGCUCCAAGAAAUGCAGCGAUGUUCUCUGAAUGAACCUCUUGGUGCAUGUACAAUCCAUAGAGACAAACACAUUGCCAAACAGCUCGGCACUAGUCAGCAUAUACAUCCAUUUGUGCCAAUCUUUAAGCUCAUCCAAAAGGGAAUGAAUUGCUAGCAAGUAUCGUAUAUAUUGCUUGGUUUCCUGGGUCCAAACGAAGGACCUCCGUAGCUGCCCAGCUUCCAUGGUCGCCAUCACAGUGGAGCUUGGAGGCUCCAAGAACACACGACCACUCCAAGAUCCUGGGAACGAACGGCAUGCUACUCAAGAGUUCUUGUGCCUCGCGCAAAUGACCAGCCCGGCCAAGUGCGUCAACCAUGCAAGAAUAGUGCUGCUCGGUGUGCUCCACACCAUAGUCGGCUACCAUGGAAGUAAAAUGCGACCGGGCAUCGUAGAGUUUUCCCCGCCGCGCGCACGUAGCGAGCACUAGGACGAAGCAAAUCCCAUCCGCAAGCUCGGCCGCCACCUUCAAUUUAGAAAAGAUAUCCUGUACGCGUUCGAGGUGGCCGACGCUUGCGUAAGAGUGUAACACAACCGUCCAAGAGAUGGUGUCACGCUCAGGCAUUGAGUGAAAGAAGAGCUCGGUCGAUCCUGGGAGGCCUCUUUGUGGGUAGCAAUUGAGCAUGGUGUUCCAUGUCACGAGAUCUCGCUCGACCAUGUCACGAAAGAAGAAUUUCUUUGCAAGCGGCUGGCGGCAGGCUUGGAUGUGAGCUGCGAGCAUGUAGGUGCAUGAUCCAGCAUCUCGCUCAGGCAUCUCAUUAAAAACUUUGAUGGUACUAGCAUAAUCGCUAAUUCUCAUGUAGCCACCAAGAAGAGCUUUCCACGACACUAAGUCUUUUACAGGCAUUUGAACGAAUGUGCAUGUUGCAAGCUCAAUAUGCCCGGCUAAGGCAUAUGCUGCAAGAACGAUAUUCCAUGACACUAAGUCCAAGCGAGAAAUAGUUUCUAGAAACAAAAGAGCGUCCCCUAAGCUUUUAUAUCGCGUAUACGAGUCAAGCAUAAUGUUACACGAGACGAUAUUACGCACAAGCAUCCUAUCGUACAGGUUUUUCAUCUCAAAAAAUCGCCCAGACACGGCAUACGCAGUAAGCAUUGCGUUUGCUGAUACUGUAUCGUGUUUUGGCAUCGAUUCAAACGUUUUCAACGACUGAUGAAAAUUCCCAGCCUCAACGAACAUUGAAAGAAGAGCCGUCCAGGAGACAAUACUCUGCUGCAGCAUGAUACCAAACACUGUUUCCGCUUUAUCAAAUUGCCUGUUAGAGGCAUAUGCUGUGAGCAAUGUUGUGUACGACACAAGAUCUCUCUCAGGCAUCAAACAAAACAAAUCUAUAGACUCCUCUAAGAGGUGUCGGCUGACCAAAAAUGUUAGGUAAACGUUCAUGGUGAUUAAGUCCCUCUCCGGCAUUGUCUCAUACGCUCUUUUUGCCUGAGAAACACCCCCAACACGGGCAUAUGUACUAAGCAUGCUGUUCCAAGUGAAAAGAUCUCUUUCCGGGAUUUCUUCGAACGCAAGAGUGGCUUGCUCUAAGAGACCUCGGAGGGAAUACGCAGCUAGCAGGGUGUUCCACGUAGCAAGGUUUCUUUGUGGCAUGGAAUGAAAGAUCUCUUCGGCCUCUGCGAGGUGUCCCUUUUGAGAAUACGAGCCAAGGAUACAAUUCCAGGAGAUGAGGUUCUUGAACGGCAUCUGGUUGAAGAAUUUCCUGGCAUCGUCCACGUAUCCAUUCUUCUCGUAAGCUGCAAGAAGGGCAUUCCAAGAAACUGGGCUCCAUGCGGGCAUAGAAUCGAAUGCGUACUUUGCCUCCUCGAGGCAUCCUCUGCGAGCGCAAGAAGAAAGGAGUACGUUCCACUCGACGAGCGUUCUACGUUGUGAAUCCAUUCAAAUGUGGACCGUUGACUGACCAGCUUUAAAUGUCGACCAUUGGAUUGGCGCCAAAAUUCGCAAGCUUGCCGAUGUAAGCCACAACCAUUGAGCAGUGCCGACCACGCAUUCACGCCAGGCUUGCAAGGCAUGGCUUGGAAUAAUCUUUGGGCUUCUUCCAGCCGCCCAGAAGAUCGAUCACGCAGUGGUAAUGCAAAGGGCUAAAGAUCUCACUGUUGGAGAGAUCAUCAAACUUUCUUGCUCCAUGAACAUCUUUAUACCAGUUGACUUUUGGAUUCUUGGGAGUAACUCCAAUUGUUUUUUCUAUUGGGUACGACAAUAGAGUGACAUCAGAAAAAACUUAAUAAAGUUGUGAGUACUUAAUAGCAAGUUCCUCCAAGUUUAUGAGGCAGAUCGAUGGGAGAACAUCCAUUGCAGCUAUUUGUCCCGUGCAGGACAUUGGAACUCCGGGCGAGGAACCAUAGCAAGAAACUCUAUCAUGGAUAUAUUCUUCGUACAUGACUCUUGGAACACUCCAGAAACAAUUGCUAUAUCCAACUUGGAGCAAAGACGGGGAGAAAAAACACGAUCAAGGUAGCGAGAAUUUUUGUUCUUUUACACGUGAAUCUAUCACAAGUGUGCUCUCAUGAUCCAGAAUCCAAGCACACUUGGUGGAAGUCUUGCGUAGAGUGAAGCUUGAACAGAUCCUGGAACGCUCGAUUCACUUGGACGCGAAUGCCGACUGGUCCAGUGUCUUGUCACUGGGAGGGAGAGCAACAGCGCCUGGCUUUUGCUCGAUUGCUUCUAUCAAAACCAAAGCUUGCGCUCCUGGGUGAAGCAACCAGUGCCAUAGACGAAGCAACUGAGGUAAAAGCUUGUCUCUUUGGUUCUCUUCUAAGAUCUAGUCACUCUACGCAGGCUUACUUGUAUCGACUUCUCUUAGAAUCCGGAACUUGCGUGAUGAGCGUUGGGCAUCGCAGCACGCUUCGCGAAUUCCACACGCACUUGCUCUUCUUUUCCCCGCGAAUCUCCGGGACGAGUAUCUUGGAGUGGUCAUUACAAGACCUUCCUCAAAGAACCAACAGUAGUUCUUCGUCCAUUGAAGUGAAUAAGUGGAAGACUGGCGUUUGUAAAUGCGAGCAAGCAAGCGCUUUGCAGCCUUUUACGUUUUGGCAAGAGUGUGGCGGAGCUCCAGCAGCUCCAUGCCACAAUCUGGGAUGGGCAGGAGACCCCCCUGGGAUGUAUGGCAAGUUUGGAGCUGACAAGAGGCUGCGGUGUUUGAUAGCAUUCAGCGUCCAAACGUUUUCUCGUGGAACAACAUCGUCACGGUGUUUGCACACAACGGGUGUUUGGAGCGAGCGCACAGCGAGUUCUGCCCGAGAGGAACUGCGUGUCCUGGAACAUAAUGGUGACGGGCUAUGCUCAGACUGGGUAUCUCACGCAGACUGAGGCUAUGCUCGAGAAAAUGCCACAGCAUGAAAUGGUUUUGCUCAGUGCUUUGAUCGUGGGCUUUUCCAGGAAUGGCCAAACCGACCAAGCAGAGGCUACUUUCGAGACAAUCGUCCAGCGGAAUAUCAUAACUUGGACUGGGUUUCUAACUGGAUAUGCCCAGUCCAGGUAUAUUCGUGAAGCUUACGGGUAUUUUUGAGACAAUUUCAGCGUGGAACGUUCUCUCGUGGACUGGUAUGAUCGGCUCGCUGGGUCAGAUGGGUCAGCUCGAGAACGCGAAGAUUCUUUUUGAUCGGGUUCUAGAGCUCAAUGCUGUGUCUUGGACGGCCGUGGUUGCUGCUUAUGCCGAGAAUGGGCAUAUGCGAGAGUGUCGAGAUUUGUUUGAGCGCGGUAUAGUAACUUGGAACGCCAUGCUUGCUGGAUUUGGGUCGAGUUUGCAAGCGGGAGAAGCGAGGAGAGUUUUUGGAAGAAUGCCUUGUGACAACUUGGUCUCGUGGAAUACCAUGCUUGCUUUGGUUGCUAGGAACGAUGGAAGCCUUGGAUACCUUCCAUGGAAUGCCUGCGAGGAACUAUAAAUCGUGGAACCUUGUCGUCCAUUGCCAUGCCGCGAAUGGAGAUUUUGGGGACGCCGGCAAGCUUGUGUAUAGAAUGCCGCAGCUCAGUGUAGUGACUUGGACUUGCAUGGUCGUUGGAUAUUCCUGCAAGGGAAGAGUUGACGAGGCGUUUUCCUUGUUUGACUGGAUUCCAGAACGGAAUGUUGUGACCUGGACGGGCUUGCUUGCCGGAUAUGCCCAAGUAAGUGAUGUGGGUGAAGUGUUUCGCAGAAUGCCGGCCCAUAACGUGGUGUCAUCGACGGCUGUGAUUGAUGCCUACGGCCACCUGGUGGCGGCCAAGGAGCUAUUUGACUGGCUCCCGGAAGCCAACGAGUUGACUCUGAUAGCCAUGCUGGGAGCAUAUGCUGCAAAGGGCUGCGCAUCCGAGUCCAAGAUGCUUUCUGACUCCUCGCCAUCGCACAGCGUGCUUACGUGGAAUACAAUGGUGUCCACGUACGGAGCUAGCCUUGAGCUCUGUGCCGCAAUGGCCAUGUUUGAGAAGAUGCCCAAGCACAACACUGUGUCGUGGAACGCAAUCGUUACGGCAAAUGCCAGGAAUGGGCAUUUGAGGGGAGCUAGGAUGAUGUUUGACACGAUACCAUAUAGGAGCUCAAGGUCGUGGAGCGUGAUGAUCGAUUCAUUUGCGCUGAGUGGCCAGUGUUUUGAGGCAGUCGAGAUGCUUACACUCAUGAUGUGGGAGGGUUUUGUGCCAGAUGAGAGUGUAUUUACAGGUGUUCUUGCUGCCUGCAGCCACCAAGGCUUGCUCGAACUCGGUGUAAGGCUGUUUUCGUUGAUGGUGAGAGAUUACUCCAUUGCUCCAGCACUAGUACACUUCAAGUGCCUAAUUGCAUUGCUGACUCGAGCUGGGCAACUUGAUAGUGCAGAGCAGCUUGUCAAUGAAACGCCCUACCAUCCAGAUGAAGUUGCAUGGGUGACACUCCUUGCCGGCUGUAGCUCACACUUUCACGUGGGACGAGCGUCCUAUGGCACUUGCAAUUCUGGUGCUCUGUAGGAAGUGUGUACGAUCAGCAAACAUGAGUUUCUAAACCUUUAAAUCUUGCGUCCCUCCGUAAGGUGGAAUAAGGAUGAACAGUUUUUUUGGCCUUGAUGACCUUUCUGUUCCCUGAUCCUCGCCAGAUGAUUCUUGGCGAACCUGAGCCGAGUCAGCACUCCACGGACGAGCGUGGCAUCGGUGGAGGCUCGUGCUGGGCGCUACAAUCAAGGGUAAGCAUCCUCGAUCUGCAGAAUCCGCAACUCCAGCACCAGAAAUAUUAAACAGGAGUGUCGAAAAUCAUUUUUGGACGCGUGUACAUAAACAUCUUGCCAUUUGUAUUGCAAUUGCUUCUUCAUCCUUUUAAUCUUUGGUGCCUUCUUCAUUCAUGUUCUUUUCCCAAAAGAUAUUUUUUCACAGUAGUAGUGCUGCAACGUGUGCCAUGCCUCAAAAGCAGUAGGAGAAUCCUUGACCUUUAAGAUGUCCUCACAUGGAACUCUCUUGAUCAACUUGUAUUAAAGCUAUACAAGCUCAGCACCUUUAAGUCUUAUUUUUGGAAACAUGUGUCCAAAUUGGUAUAAAAGUUGUACGCAAGGAAGCUUCUUUGCAAUGGCAAAGGCGGCUUGUAUGAAGGAUAAGCAGGAGAAGCAGGAGAAUUGGUAAAAUGGGGCUUGAUCCAAAGGAUGGGGGGCUUCCCAUGGUUCAGGAUUUGGUUGAGUCUGGCAUUGAUGAAGUGCCUCAGCGAUUUGUGAAGCCAGCGGAAGAGCGGUCAUUCUCUGCAGCAAGGACGGAAGAUGAUGAGGUUCCAGUUAUUCACGUAGCAGAGCUUGACACAGCUGAAGGCAUCGCUAAGCUCAACAGCGCUUGCCGAGAUUGGGGAUUUUUCCAGGUGAGAUCUGGUCAAUAAUCCAUGACUAACCUCUGGUUCAGCUGAUUGGACAUGGCAUCCCUCCGGAGUUGCUUAAACAGGUGAGGAAGACAGUGAGGGACUUUUUCCGGUUGCCCCGGGAGCAGAGGGAAGCAUAUGCUAUUCGCUCUGAUGCACCAUCUCUAGCCAGCCAGGAAGGAUACGGAAGAUUUUUCGUUCCUUCGAAGGAGACUGUGCUCGACUGGGACGAUCUUGUUUAUCAUUUUCUUCCUCCCAUAAGGAAUUGGCCAAGCAAUCCUCCAGAGUACAGGUAACAUUUUUUUUUGAAAACUUUCAUCGUCGUUCUGAACUCCACUCUACAGGAAAGUCGUGGAAGAGUACGGCCAGGAGAUACGGCCUCUGGCAAUCAAACUGCUACAAUGCAUGGCAGAGGCAUUGGGGCAACGUGCUAGUUUCUUCUCUGAAGCUUUCGGUCCUAGUCCUCAUUAUGCGAUCAGGCUGAACUAUUAUCCGCCUUGUCCACAGCCAGAGCUUGUGAUUGGAAUCAGCCCUCACUCUGAUCUCGUGGGUCUUACCGUUUUGCUCCAAGAUGAGGUGGAAGGCCUGCAGGUUAAGAAAGACGGGCAGUGGAGGAGCGUCAGGUCCAUCCCAGACGCGUUUGUGGUGAAUGUUGGAGACACGAUUGAGGUGAGUGAAUGAGGAUUCUCGGCUUUGGUUCAUAGUUAAAGCUAUGGUGCAUGGUUUUUGUCGCGUCCCAGAUACUAACAAAUGGAGCUUACAAGAGCGUGGAGCACAGAGCUGUCGUCAAUAAGGAAUGCUCUCGGAUCUCCAUUGCAACAAUUUACGGUCCUGGCCGCGACAGGAAAUUAAAGCCAAUUACCUCGGAAGAAAUGCCACCUUUGUACAAGGAGAUCUCUAUGGCAGAGCUCCUCGAAGCGUUCCUCAGUGGGGAACUGAAUGGUAAGGGGCAUCUCCAGUUUGUCAGAAUAGUAUGAGGGUCCAAGUAUUAUGACAAAAAUAAAAUAUUGUGACAAUAUAUGUCUUUAAUAUAGUAAAUGAUAUAUAUAUAUAUAUGAAUUGAAUGUUUGGAAAGCUAUUUUACUUCUAAGUGAAAAUUACCUAAGAAGAAUGCCCUUUGAGCCCCUUAAAGCUCUUUUCUAGGGCUACUGUCAAACUCCACAUAGGGUUUAGGAUUUAGGGUUUAGGGUUUAGGUGCGUUUAUAGUAACUCAAUCUAUUUAUGUCUUAAAUUAUGUAAUAGAAAUCCUGCAGUUUAGGUUUAGGGUUUUAGGUUUAGGGUAUAAACAUUUAAUCCAGAUCAGUGCAUAUCAUGAAACUUUCACAUUGAAUCGACUCCAUUGGUUGUUGGUCCUAAUUGUGGCAACUGGAUCCAAAAAUUCUCUUUUCCAGAUCAUCCUCAAAGCAAGACACCAUAUAUAGUCUUCUAAAGAGAAUCUAGAAAGCUAGGUUUUUCAAGUCCCAACUGCUCCAAGUCACCCUUGACAUCCAACUCUACCAAUCCUUGACCGUUACUAUCUUCAUCAUGUGUCAAGGCAAACAAAAUCACAUAAAUCUUGGCAAAAAGCUCCAUUUCUAAAGAUUUUGCAACUGUCCAUCCACGGAUUGCACAACUUAAAGUAGGUUUAAAGUUGUCUCACAUUACUCAUUCUCACAUGGAUUUUUUGCAUUCUUAUUCAUUAAUUGAAGAUUUUGUCAUUAUAAUGUUUUGUUGCAUAAAGUGUUUUUCAUUACCUUCACCAAGAAAACAACCCUAAGCACAUAGUAAUGGCAAAUUUAGCCUGUGGUAUCCAAAAUAUGUUAAAAACUCUAGCUUUCCCAGAAAACAUCAAGUCCAUAAAACUUUGCUGAUGUGUCAAAAAUGUUGAUAUGGAGUUGAAAUUUACACUAAAAAAAUUACAUACAAGCAUCAAUGCAUGCUCAUGCAUAAGAAAAAAAUUAUCUUUAAAAUAUUAUUUUGUGAGUCUACUCAAGAUACACCUGCCUCAUUGAGAGGUGUACCUCCCCUUAAAACUGCAAUCACAAAUUAGCUAAAGGCAUAAGAUGUAUACAAAUAAAAAAAACAACAUAUGAUAAUGUAUCUAUUUCAUGCUUUUUCUUGGGCAACACAAAAACUAUCAAUUUUAUUAAGAUAUGGGAUUGUUUUUAAGAUGUGCUUAAGUCUUGGUGCUAGAGAAAAAAGUAGGGAGAUGGAUGGAGGUUUCAUGAAAUUGAUGGCACUAAAGCAAGGCAUAGCUUUGUACUACUAAACAACAAAAGUAGUAAUGGGAGCUCAAAACUUGUAGCUGGAAUGAAGAGAUCAUGCAAAGAUUUGCCAUUGUGGACUAUAGAGCAAUCAAGUCAUAGUGACAUGUUUAGUUGAUUUCUAUUGCAAACUUGAAAGCAUAGUCUUGGCUCAACAGAUUUUUAGCUUGAUGCCCUUGAAAGAUCUUGUGGCCUAGACAGCACUUAUAAUUGGACAUAGUUGCCAAGGAAACAUUGACUCCAUGUUUGAAAACUUUAACAAUAUAUGAGAUUUUGGCCUUCAUCUUGAUAGCUUUACAUUCCUCUUGAUCAUCAGUGUUUACAGCUAUGUAAGGCUUGUGAAACAAGAAAAAAAGUGCUUACAUGCAAUAAAGAUGAAGUAUGAGAUUUGUCCUAGGCAUGAGCACUACUAUGGAGUGAUUGAUUUUUUGGGAUAAGUAAACCAUUUGGAUGAGGCCUAAGGCCUCAUCCAAAUGUCUAUGCCUCUAGGGCUGAAUUGUGUAACUUGGACUAGUAUUCUAAGCACGUGUAAGAAGUGGAAAAAUAUGUAGAUUGGGAAGAUACUUUGGUGAAGAUUGAUAAAAGGAACAAAGUUGCAUAUACAUUUAUAGCUAAUCUAUAUAAAAAUUAAGAUUUGCAGUUAGGUGACUAAAUUUUCCAUUUUACUUUAGUUACUUAAUCACACCUCCAACCACUUGAAAGAGUCUCACUUAUAACCUCUAUAAGUCUUAUUCCAGACUUAGGGAUUUGCUAGCCCUGAGAACUUUUACACUUAGUCCAAAUGCUCUAUGUGUUUGAUCCCAUGACCGACACCCAAAGGUACCACCGACAUAUCAACCCAUUAUACUAAAGCCAUGCUCAUUCACCAUUGUCACACCGGUGAUCCAACAUCACCUACAUCACAGUCCUAUCUCUCAAAGAUUAGGCCAUUUGUCUAUGAGUGAUCAUCCCAAACCCAAGUUUAGACCACUAAUUGAUCAUCAAGAAAUUGUUGCUUCUUUUAAGCCUAUUUCCUCUUCUUGUCAACCCUUACUUAUAAAAAUUGAUAAACCAAAUUCAGUCUCAAAUGGAUAAUUUAUAUGUUAUAGUACUAUAAUUAAUGUAUUAUCUAAUGUCGCGAAUGUGACUUCGGGUAUCGAAAGAUACUUGUCGGCCAGUCCUUACGGGCACUCUUUCCUUACUGCCACGACGGCAGGAGGUCGGUACUGCUGGUCCCUUUUAUGGUCUCCACUCAAGCUAGUUGAGAAACUGGUCAUCGCAUGUGCACUUGACCAGAUGAGCAUAAGGACGGAAUUCCUACAUGCUAUUUGUCAAGAAUACUUGACCUGGUUAGAGAAACUCAUUCGCUGACUUGCACUUGCUAGUGUUGGGAACCCCCGUGAUAUUGAAACUAGUCCCUCAAUAUUCGCUAGAUGAUAGCUUAUCGUGUUUGCCAAACACCCUCGCUAUCAUGCCUUUAGUGUUGGUCUCAUUUCGGUCCCAUAUACUAUUUAUAGAAAGUGUCUAGAUUUGCUCAUUUGGCAUAUCUACAGAAUGUAAAGAUCGGCCUGAACACAAUGGUGUUCGUCCCGUGUCUAGAUUCGCAAUCUAAGGCCAUUCCAUAUUUAGUAAGUUUCGGACUUGUCCCAGAGACUAACUCCUGGUACUAAGGGAGGCUUGGGGUGAAAGCCCAAAGCGUGUGUCCCUCAAGGGGGGGGGGGGCUGUGGGGGGUUCCAAAUGUAUAGUAGGGAUAGUGGUUAGAAUGCAUGUCCGACCACCUAAGACAUUAGUUUGGCUCCCGCUGGGCUGUGUCGCUCCUUGUUCUGCGUCCGGCUUGGGUCUAAACCCAAGCUCCACGCUGCUCUAGUCGGUGGAGUACCCUCCUCCUCGCGUUAGGCCACCGGUAUGCCAAAAUUGUGCCAGACUCCGUCUGACACCAUUUUGCGUGCAGGUGCUGGAUACGGGGACCUGGUGCUCGUGGGAUUGUACUGGACCCUCGUUUCGUAGCGCUACGAGCUUGGAGUUCGGCUCCAAAUUCAGGUGCGCUACAUCUAGCUAGGAUAAUAUAUGUAUAUACAUAUAUAUAUUUAUAAACCUUAUACCAUUCUCCCCUCAAGAAGAUGAAAAAAUGAUGAUAAUAAGUCAGAUGGAACAUUUGGAACUUCUAUUAGGUGAUUAUAAAUUACCAUAAGAAUUUGAAGUUUUCACAAAACCAUUAAUAAAGUUGUUGAUACAAUUGCCAAAUGCUCAAAUUAACCUCAAAGCAAUUGGACCAAAGCAAAAACUUUGAGAACCAUUGUUCUAUAAAAUGUCAUUGCAAUAAGUUAUAUAUCUCAUAUUUAAGUCUACUUGCCAAUAAUCCUUUUAGACCAUUAUUAACUCUAACUCACAACUAUAAAUAGAACCUAUCUUUACAUCUUCCUUUCAAUCAACAUCCAAGACCCAUGUUAAUUUAGAUUUAUGACCUUUUGCCUUAUAAAUUAUAGAGCUAAUUAUUGAAAUGAUCAUAGGAGGUAUGAAUAAUCAUGCAAUGUACAAGAUUGCAGCUGGUUAUAGAGAGAGGUAUUAAUCCAAGUCAGACCAUCUAUGAGCUAUAACUUAUUCCCCCAUAAGAACGGCUAUGAGCAUGUGAGCCUCGCAAGCACAGCUGAGCAAUUGGCUGUGGCACAAUACGAGUUUGAGGCCAUGAAGAGUCAUCAGGUAAAGCAUCUUGGACAACUGUGUGGUUAGGAACACUAAAUAUAGGAGAUUGGAUUCAUUUUAUUUGUCCUUCACAUCCUUUUUAUCCCUUCCUUGAAGGAAAAAAAGUUCUAAAACACUGACUCUAUUUAUAUUUGUUACAUUUGUCCUCACUUUGCCAUUUAUGUUUGGCCUCACUCCACUAUUACAUCCAUUCAAUUUCAUUAUCUACUCAUCCUCACUCCAUUGUUAGAGCUAAAUUCCUGUUUGUCCCUUCUACCCUUUCCUCCAAAGAAAAAAAGUUUGAAAUAUUAGGGUAAAAAAGAGAAAGCAAAAAAAAGGGGAAUAAACAUUGUGGAAAAAGAAAAAGUGAACAAAACAUUGAAAAAGGAAUUUUUAGCAAUAGUUAAGGUAAAAAUUGAGAGAAAAGAAGGAAAUGUUCAAAGCCUAGAGAAUAAAGGAUUUGCUAUGAUAAAAUACUUUAUCUAGCAUGAGAUAAGUAAAUUAUAUUGUUCAACCUUCUCAACACAUAAUUUAACACUUUGAGAUAGAAAAAUCAAUACAAAAAUCCACACUCUCAAGGAGUACAUAAACCUUUUAGCAAUAAUAAUAAAACAAAAGCUCUUAACAUCGCUCACAACUAAGGAUACACACUUAACUUGAAAUUCUGGCUAAAGUGAUUCAACCUUUGGAAUAGGAGAAUAUUUAAUAUUAGAAUUGAUUAAAGACUCCGCCAAAGAAACAAAAGCAAGAUUCUCAACUUCAUAUACAUGUUCAAUAUUUAGAUUAGUAUGAGAAUUAUAGAAAACACUCAACUCAAUACUGGAUUGGAAAUGAAAAUCAUAAAAGUCAAAAGUGAUUGAUGUGCCAAAAAAUAUUAUAGACAAGGAAGGAACACUAGGAACAUAAAAAAGUAGCUUAGGCUGAGAAAUCAAAAAAAGUUAAGAAAGAGUAAAAAGUAAAAAGAAAUGAUUAAAUGGCAAAUUAAAGGAUUGAUAUCUAUCUUGUGAAAUCUCCAACUCAUUUUCAAAGCUAUCUUUAAAGUUGUCUUUGUAAUAAUCAAAUUCUUUAUCACAAUUUAAAAUCCAUUCGAGCUCGUAAACAUUGUCUUCCCAUAAACUCGAUCUUCAAAUAUUCUUUGAGAACUAGAUUGCAUCAUCUAUAACUCACUAAUCAAUGUCACAAUCAUAUUUCACAUUAACAGGAGAUGGCAAAAUGUCAAAAAUAAAACAAGCUAUAUAAUCACAUUCUAUAGAAGUUGAAGACCAUAACACAUCAAGGAUGGGUGUAACAUCAAUAUGAUCACACCCCAUAACAUGAAAAACUCAAUCCAAUAGAGUAAUAUCAACAACCUACUCCUUGAUCAAUGACAACAUAAGAUGUUAAAAAAAGAGAAUGCAAUGAAGAUAAGAAGAAAAAACAAAUUUAAGCAUAAGGACAAUUAAAAUUCUAGAUCUUGACUUUAUGGCCAACAUAAGUCAAAGGGAAGUGACUUUGUGGUCAAUAUGGGUCAAAGGGAAAUUCAAAAGUAUAUUUAUGGUAAAGGCUAGCCUAUCACAGUGAAGUAGUAGUGUAAUGGAGUUUUUGAGGUAGAUUGGGGGUGGUUAGGUGGUGAAGAACCUUAAGAGGAGGUGUUGUGUAGUCUAGGGAGAUUAAACCUCUUAUAAAAUUAGAUCUAAAAGAGAAUGAAAAAAUAAGAACAAAAAAUAUAAUCUCAAACAUUAGAGUAAAGCAUUGCAAAAAACUUUAUCCUUCAAGGACAAAUUACAGUGCCUUGUAAACUCUUGAGUUUAGAUUUCCCGGGAAGUCACCUAACUCAAUACUAUUCAAACCCAAGGACGCUUAAUCCCAAAUAUCCCAAGACCAUUAAUCGAUUGGAAAAGGGGGUGCAUUCUUAUUCAUAGGUCCUUUCUCUCUAUAUUUGAACUUAUGGAUCGUCUCUUGAGUUGUUCUUUUUGGUUGCUUACAAUCCACCAUGCUCCCUGCAAAUUCACACCUUCGUGAAAAAAAGCUGAGAGCCACAACUUUCCCGAGAGCCCUGCUUUCUUGACACCUUACCCCUUGGGUCGAGCCCAACGGGAGCAAACUAGACCAGCCAAAUAUCAAUUAACAUGUGGUGUAAUUCCCUUAAUCCAACCAACAAAAUCAAACUUUAAACCACUUUGAUACCAAAUAUAAACUUCUAAGUUUGGACUUCCCAACCCAGUAUUAUUCAAACCUAAGGACACUUAACCCCAAAUAUCCCAAGACCCUUAACCGAUUGGAAAAAAAGGGUGCACUCUUAUUCAUGGGCUCUUUCCCUUUAUAUUUGAAUCCUUAUGUAUCGUCUUUUGAGUUGUUCCCUUUGGUUGCUUACAUGCUUCUUAUCUCCAUCAAUGUGAACGCUCGGGAUAUAGGAAUAAGUAUAUUAAUUAAGGUUUAUACUUUUAUUUAUAUAUAAGAAUGGAUAGACUAAAUUUAGUUUUAAAUGGAUAGUUCAUAUGUUAUAAUACUAUAAUUAGUGUAUUACUAGCCAGGAUAUACAAAUAUUUAAUAAAGCAUUUUUUUUUUAAUUGUGAGUUUUAACUUAACAAAAAAUACUUUGUGGUAUGUGGAAAAGCCUUGGUGCUUCUCAGUGGUUGUUCCGGAGCUACAUAAACAUAUGUUCUAUAGAGCUGAACAUGCUAAAAUGUUUUCAGAUCUUGACAAGAAUGCAAUGACUGGAUCUUUGCACAAGGUUGAGCUUGGAUCUUCAUCUGCCAUGCACUAAAUUGUUGCAGCAAUGUCUUCAUAACCCACAACAUGACAUGAGCUUUGAGUGAAUCUAUAUCAGUGACAUUGUAACUCUUGAGGUAAGCAUUGUGCUCAACAAUGUUCCCCAAGAUCUUUUCCCGAACAACUGUUGCAUCCCCACACAUAUCCUUAAACUCAUCAAUCAGCACCUCCAUUCUCCUUUCCCUUAGCACAUUAGUCUCAUGUAUCAAGAUGGACACCACAAACUCUCAAAAACAGCAAAUAGAUAGAUAAAGGCAAGAUCCACCAGAAGGUUCCUCUGACAGGAAUGUCUGCCAUGGUAGAAAACUAAUAAUGACAUAUGAGAAGCUUUGAUUUGGUGGGUGCGACACUCAGCACAACUUUGCAAGUGAGGUGGAGACCACGAAAGACGGUCGAAUGGCAGAGGCGAUCUAAGAAUAUUCCUUACUCCAUUCUCCUGCAAUUAAGGUACUCAUCAUGCCUACAUGGUAACUUUCCCUCUCUGAUCUGGUUCCAGGAGCGAAACUUCGAAGAUCGCUUUGUGAGAAUGGAGGCGUUGGUCAAUGAGUUUGAGGAUAUGUGUAGGAAUGCAGCACUUGUUCAGGAAGAGAUCUUGGGGGCCAUUGUGGAGCACAAUGCUUCUUGUGAGUACCUCAGGAGCUACAAUGUGACUGAUACAGAUUCAUUCAAAGCCCACAUCCCCAUUGUGGACUACGAAGACAUUGCUGCAAGGAUUCAACGUAUGGCAGAUGGAGGUCCAGGCUCUGUCCUGUGCAAAGAUCCCGUCAUUGUAUUCAUCUUGAGGUCUGAAAGCCUUUUCAGCAUGUUUGAUUGCUUAGCUCCAUACAACAUAUGUUUUAUGUAGCUCGGCAACAACAACUGAUAAGCGCAAGGCUUUUCCACUUACCACAAAGUCCCGCAGCCUGAAAAACCAUGCAGACAAGAUUUCAGCGGGUUAUAGAGAAAGGUAUAUCAUGCUAAGCCAACAAAACCUCAUAAACUCUUGUGUGUUUGAGCAGAGAUUUUCCAGUCGGUUCCUUUCCAACAGCUUUGGCUUUCAUGUAUGCUCAACCUCAUGGGACACUCUCCAAAUCAGGCCUCCCAAUCAUGCCUGGUUCUAGCUUCUAUUUCACAAGCCAGGUUUACAAAGAGAGGCCAAGCAGGAGCACAAGUACAGACGAGGUUAUCUUUGGUCCUUGGUGGGAGUCAACGUACUGUCACUUGCUCUCUGGACUCAUUUUACGCACGGAAGUGGAUUAUAUUACUUCCUUCUUUGCUUAUACUCUUGUCCACGCGUUCAACAUGCUGGAGGCUGAAUGGAGGAACCUCUGUUACGACAUAAGAACUGGAAAACUGGACGAAAGAGUCAAAGACGUUAAAUUGAGAGCAGCUGUUGUAGGGGUGCUGCGCGAAGAUCCAGACUCAGCUGGCUCAAUAGAGGAGGUCUGCAGCAGCAACGUGUCAUGGGAUCAAGGGAUAGUUCUAAAGCUUUGGCCCAAAGCUAAGUACUUAUUGACUGUGGUAACAGGUGAUCUAGUUUUUUAUUUCUCUAUAUAUGUAAUGUGUGGUUUUGCAGGUGGUAUGAAACCUUACAUUCCUGCUCUAAGGAGGUAUGCAGGAGGUGUACAUAUUAUGGGAAGGGCGUACAUAGGUUCAGAAGGAGUCUAUGGAAUAAACAUAGAUCCCGCUACUGAACCAGAGAAUGUUGUCUUCACACUUGUCCCUACAACAUUAUACAUGGAGUUUCUUCGGCUCAGGGACAACAAGCUGGUGGACUCAAGUAACUUAGAAAUCAGUGAGCAGUACGAACUGGUUAUUACCACACAUUCAGGUGAGCAGUCCUGCCUUGUUUCAUUUCGCACCAUGCAAUCAACACUUUGCAGGUUUGUAUCGGUACAAAGUGGGGGAUGUGGUCAAAGUCGUCGCUUUCUUUCAUGAGAGUCCACAAAUGGCCUUUGAAUAUCGUCGCAGUGCGGUGCUAAGUGUAAGCCUGGACAUGACCAGUGAACAAGAGCUCCAGAACGUGGUAAGAAGAACAUGCAUCGAGGCGAACCUGGAAAUUGUGGAUUUCACAAGUCACUCAAACCUGUCAGAGCAGCCUGGCCACUAUGUCAUUUACUGGGAGCUGAAAAACGAGCCAAACAUUUACUCCAAUCAUGCGCUUCUAAAUAGGUGUUGUAACGUUCUGGAUCGGUCAUUUACUUCUAUUUUAUACAUCACGGGGAGAAGAACUGGUACAAUCGGACCCCUGAAGCUUGUGACCGUGAAAAAAGGUUGUUUUGGAAGACUUCUGGAGCAUGCAGUUAGAAAUGGCUCUGCAGCUGGACAGUACAAGACUCCAAGGUGCAUCAAGAGCCCAAAAGUGCUAGAGAUUUUGGAAGGGGAAAUUGUCACCACUUAUAGAAGCUCGGAAUACCUUCCUAAAGAUCAUAUCUGAAAUAACAAUUCUCUGAGCCAAUUGGCUAAAGGGGUGAUCACUUUAUCUUAUUAUCCUGACUUAAUGCUUAAUAAUUGGGAAUGAAAUGAUGAUCUGUGAUCAUUGUCAUUCAUUGUAAUGUUGAUGGUUGAAAUGGAAACCCAAACCAGGGUGGUCACUUUGGUCAUUAUGUUUAUUAAACCUUGGUAAAUAUUCCUUCAAAAUAUUUUUACCCCAUCAUCCACAAGAAUUGAACUAGGCUCAAAUACCAAUGUUAAGAUUUUAUCCUUUACACCCUAAACCAACUAGCUAAAAGGAUUGCCUUAUCCUAUUAUCCUAACCUGCUGUCUAAUCUUCCAUCAAUUCUAAUCCUUGGUAGAGAGAGAUGCCAUUGUAAACCAGGAUUUAGUCCAGGAUGUGUUUGAUACGAUCGAUCUUGCGAAGCAAGCUGUGGAAGUCCAGUGCCCGAGAGUAGUCUCAGUGUACUGAUAUACUUGUGAUGGUCACUUGAGAUAUGUUGAUCCUGGAGAGUAUCACCUGGCAGGCCAUCCCGUGUGUCUCAUCGAACACGAUAUUGACAAUGCUGGUGCAGGGUGAGAGGCUGGAAGAAGUGAGGGCUCUCUUUGAUGACAUGGAUUUGGUGGUAAAGGAUUCAGAAUGUGAUUUUUACCAUCUAUGUAGGAGAUUGUUGUGUUGCUUCCUUACACUUAGGUAUAUCUUCUGCUUAUCUCAUUGCAAGAAAGUGAACUGAGGAACUGGAGGCUAAUCACCAUGCUUACAAGGUCUACCCCUCUCAGCUUGCAAAAUCUGGCACCAAUGCCAAAGCAAUGACUCUCAAGCUCCAACUAGAAGCCAUGGAUGGAAGGGCAGAGAAAAAACCAUGGUUUUGCAAAGAGAAUCUCUUCUCGCAUUUAUUUCUUGAAGGUCUGUUUGACGGCAUGCCCGCGAUGCUUGUUACUGUUGCCACUCUUGGGCAUCUUCAUGAAGCAGCGGAUCUUUACCGCGAUGCGACACAAGAACGCUUCAUCGUGGAGCCUACUCAUCUUCGAGAACGAUGAGUAUUGCCGCUGUGGAACACGCGCGCGGAGCUCUCAAGACCGCGGAUAUGUUUAGUGAGAUGGCGGUGGAUAUGGAUGGUUUUUCUCCAUGGGAAUGGACUACGGCGUGAGAAGGAGCAAGCAGUGUGGGGCGAGCGGAUGAAGGCCAUCUUCUCACAAACAUGCCGUUCAAGCUACAGCUAGAGAAGAGUUAUAGCCUGGACUCCAUGAUGAACUUGGCGGCGAGUAGAGUGUCUGCCAUGGAGUCGGAAAAUGCUGCUCCGAAAUCUACCAUUGAUUCAGUUUACUGUAGCAUUGUUGCGACAGUUCGUCUUCCAGCCGUCUUGCCAAGUCUCAUCGUCUGCUGAUAUUCAACCUCGUGAGGUGUCAUGUAGCAUGACAUUUGUGAUGUCGCAGCACUUUGCUGCUCGCAUUCGAGAAUCUUUCUUGUUGAAUACAUCAAAUCCCACGUUUUUCGUGUGAACUCAGAAGUGAGAACUUCGAUUUAUUCGUUUCCUGUAGAUAUGUACAAAAUUGCGAGCUCCCAUCUCGAUCAACGGUGGCGGGUGUGAAACCUUUGCAAGUGUGCGUUCUCGAGCUUGUUGAAAAGCGAUCGAUUCGAAUGAAACGAAUGCUCUGGACUGAACAUGCUGAAAAAGGUAGCUCGCAGAUCCUCAAAGCUCGCGUUUUCCUCCUGCAACUCGAUCUUAAAAAAAGAAAAGAAAAGGCAACUAGAAACGCACCUCGUGAACCUGCUGUUGCAUCAUCGUCCGCAAUUCACCCAAGAAAUCCUUCAUUCCCUGCAAAGAAAGAAACGUUAAAUAGAAGAAAAAAAAUCUUUAACUCACAUAGGUGGGGUUUUGGUGAAAUCCUUGAAACUGGCUUUGUUGAUCAUACAAUAACCUCUUUUUCCAGUCCGAUAACACCACAUAGGCGUUAUGGAUCUCCUGGAACUUUAACUUUGCCGCCUCUGGAUCCCUUCCGAGGUACUUAUCCGGGUGCCAAAUCUGUCAAUCAGUGUCUAGAAUCACUCCAAUCACUCCGAAAAAUCAAGAAGGAUCAACAAGAACUUACCCUCGCAAGCCUUCGGUACGCACUGCGAAUCUCUCUCGGCGACGCUCCCCGGUAGAGCCCAAGAACAGCGUAGAGAUCGCCGCUCGGCCUAUCGCCCCCCAUUUGCUUGCGAUCGGGCGCCAGCGCCCUCGAGCGCCAGGAAAAUCCUCGCGGAGAAGAACAAGACAACACACCACCGCCACCAUCGCUCCGCUUAGCCUAAUAUAAUUCUAUCUCUUCGGGACACGUCACCGGGAAAUGGAAUCUAGAAGGUUCUGGAUCCUGUUUGAAGAAAGAAUAUUCCAAAGAGUAUGAAAAAUUGGCGCGCUAUGAAGAUACGCGCCGUUGUCUUAAUCUCCACAGCAUGAAGACGCACAUUCCAGCCCCCGCUGCCGCUAUUACAAGCUGAAAAGAUUCGCUUAGUAUUCGUGGAGAGGCUGGUUUUCAGGGAAAAAUCUUACCUUGCGUGAGACUGUGGUAGUGUUGAGUAAACCGGCGAUGGCUUUCAUCCGGGAAGGUCUCGGAACCAAAGCCACUGCCGUGUGACGCUGAGCGCAUGGAACUGGCAAAAUUCUACACAGGGCCUUCUGCAUUGCGACUUCGUCGAGAGAGGACCUUACUGAGUCCCUCCAUUGGUCUUGUGCCUGUGAAAGGAAAAUGAGAAAACGAUGCUCAAAAGCAAAUCUCUUUUUUCGUUCUUCUCAAACCUGGAACGAGGUGUUCAAGUCGCCAACGUAGAGCCUUGAUUGAUACGCUCGCGACAAUCGGUCUAGCCAAUAUAUGUUCUCCUGUUUAUCAAAAAAAAAAAAAAAAAAGAGGCAUUGCUCGGUCAGCUCCAGAGAAAGAUCACUCGUGAUGGUUUGCACCUGUUGCCCAUUCUCGUGAGCUCUCUGCUCAAUCUCCAAGACCGUCAAAACUUCCUGUUUGGUGGGUCCUUCUAGUUGCAACCUUGCAACCUCUUCAAGAGAGAAUUCGACCUAACAACAGAAUGUUUAUGUGCCAAAACAUUCUGAUUGAAGAGAAACUACUUACAAGUUUCCAGGCGCUAUCGGGAUCACAGGAGAAGCUGAUCGCAAUGUCACCACAUACAUCGCUUGACCUUGAUGGCUUACUUCCGCCCAGAAAAGCCGAAACGGAUGCAGUAUAUAUCUGGUUACAUCCCAACGUAAACAGAAGAGAAGGAAAAACAGAAGCUACGAACCUGCCCAUGCUUGAACCUUAAAACUUGCAUCAUUUUCGUCUCCAGCAACUUGCUUAUGAAACUUGUAAAGUGUACCUCUUCCAUCUGGAAGGAAAGAGUAAGUUCCAUCCUCAGAAUAGCCUCAGAAAUUACUCACCAUAUUGGAAGCUUUAAGCUCCACUGGAAAUGUUAUCUGUACGGAGCCUUGUGCUUCAACCAUGCUGCGACGAACUUCCUCCCUGCACCACAGCAAGCUUGUCUCGUUGCAAAAUGUAAUUUAUGAACCUUAUGAUUCCAGCAGGAAAAGUAAAUGGCAGGCCUUGCAAAUCGUCUCGAUUGUACUUCAUAACAGGCUCAGAAGGACUCGGGAUACCACCCUACAAAAAUAAGCAUAAAAAAUGGUGCUCAUAAUGAACUACGUACCAGAUACUGUAGAAUCAGCGGCACGACUUUCUCUGGAAUAAUCUUGCCAACAAUCGCAAUAGUAAAAGCAGAAGGAUCUUUAAAACAAGAAUCAAAGAAAGCGCACGCCCUCAGAGGAUCAACUUUGCGAAGAUCUUUUACAGUAAUGGGCUGCAUUGCAAGGAAAUGUCCGUAUUUGGAAGACGAUGAGUAAACGCAUGCAUACCUUGAAGUAAUAAGAGUUGCCAUAAUUGAUUUCACGAACUCGGUUAACAUACGCGGUAAAUGGAUCUCUUUCCUGAGCCUCAAUGCCUUCCUUCGUCAUUUGCAUAACUAGCUUUACUUCAUCGUUCCCAGGAUGGACACUGGUAACGAAAAGUUGAUAGAUCAGCUGCACAUAUUAUAAAAAAAAACGGUAAAGUGUGGGAAGAAAAAAGAAGUAUACAAAAUUGAUGAACCUGGAGUGCAAUUUCUAGAUCAGUGGGAGAACAAUCCCCCGAGAAGCUACGCAUGUAGGCCCCAAUCUUUGUUCCCACUUCAGCUCUUUUGCCAGCCAAGAUAUCCAUGAGGACUGACGGCUUAUGUCCAAAAACUCCAAUCUCCCCAGCAAUGGUAGAUCCCAUCGAACAGGUGAGAAAAUCUUUCUCAGGCACUUGAGAGAGUCCACCAUAUGCAAAUCCCGAAAAUACUAUCUGCAUAUAUUACUGUCAGCUUCCAAGGUAAACGGACUCAAAACUAACCUGAUCAUCUAAAAAGUCCGUCGGCUUGUAACAAACACGAAGCCCAUUGCUCAGAACGAGUUCUGUGGCUCCAAAUUCUUCAUAAACAGUGGUUUCCAGAAUGACCCUGUGCAAAUCAUAGUCAGUAAUGGAAUGUGUGAAGAGAGAUCCAAACAGAAAUAAAACAAUACCCCGGCUCAGGUUUAUUCUCAACAACCUCCUCGGGAACGUCCUCUUCAUUCCACGGAGGAAUAGAGCCCUCGUCUUCGAGAGCUUGAACUUUCGCAAUCACAUUCUUUAAAUCUUUAACCGUAACACUAACGCGAGGCUCUAUCGUCUUGAUAAUGCAGCUGAGACGAGCCUUGAGAAGGUUAGCAAUGUCAGCAACUUCUGUCGCAGUGAUUCCUGCAUGAACAUGAACGUACACAAACAUCAGGAAAAUAGAAGCAUCAGUAGCAAACCUGGUAAAACAGCCUUUUGAAGACGAGCUUCGUACUCAAUUCCAACGACAGGUUCAUUAUGGAGGAAGUGCUGGAGAAACGGAAAAACAAAGGUCAAAUAUGGAGACGAGAGAACCACCCACCUCCAUGUAUUCUUCUCGGUAGGAUGUUGAUUGCAUCUGGUCCCUUUCUAAGUAUGCUGACUCCAUGUCUGCUGUCAAAAACGCACGAACCAUUGCAAGUUCACGUUCCGAAAAUCCGUGCAGUCUUAUUCUAGCGACCUGCAGACAAUAUACGUCAGCUAGAGAGAACAUCCUCAUAAGUACAACCUUACUUCAGUAAGAAUGGACUCGACAGCUUCGAGCGUGCCUUUCUCCUUGCAGCUUGCAGUGAUGGUGUAGGCUUUUACAGGUCGAACCAGAUUGUCGUCCACUGAGGCACAGGAAAAGAAGGGAGGCUCCUGCUGCCUUGAAAGUUUAAAGAAUCUCUGAUUGAGAGCGCUAUGAAACAUUCCCUCGGCUACAGUAUAUCGAUAGUCUGCAACUGUAACAAUUUGCCUCGAUGGGAUUUUCCAGCUGACCACCACAGCUGACUGCGGACAAGUUGCGUUAGCGACGAUUAUGAAAGUAGAGCGUGCAUACUUACUCCUCCGGCCUCUGUCUCAGCAAAGCAAGAAAAUCGGGGCUCUUCGUGACUUGGAACAUGAUAUAGAGGCAAUUCAUUGUAUGCCCGUUUCUCAACCACGGGGUCCUUCUCUUGAAAGUGAAGCUUUAUGAGUUCUACCACACUCUGCAUCAACAGUACCAUAUGAGAUCAACAAAUAAAAUUAAAAAACGUAGCAAUUACCUCCGUAUCUUCAAAGUCUCCUACGGCUACAAAAGCCAUAUGUUUCGGGUGAUACCAUUUACGAUAAAAGUUUCUGACAGUUUCCGCAGAGACAUUCCGAAUGAUAUUUUCGAGUCCAAUCGGUAAACGAUCAGCGUACUGGGAAAAUCACAAGUCAAAAACUGCAAAAAAAUUCAUAGUGAUAAUCGUUACCUUUGAUCCUUGCAUGAGGAGUAACCAAUGCGCCUCUUGCAUCCGUCCUAAGGCAUUGCGAUCGCCUCUGUACUCCUCCAUGACCGCUCCCCUCUCCUUUUCCAAAUCUUCUUGUGAUGCACGAAUCUAAACAAAACUCAACCAUACAGAAAGAAAAAAAAAAAAGCGAGAGUAGAUACCCCAGCGCUAAACUCCGCGAGGACCGAGAUAGCUUGUGAUAGAAGCUCUGGUUUGUCAACAGGAACCAGGAGCUCGUAGAUAGUCUCGUCUGCCGACGUCAUGGCAUUUUGACAAGCACCAAAUUCAGCACCAAUGCUCUCCAGGAAUUUCACAAUGUCGUGGUUCGUAUACUUCGUCGUGGCACUGAAAGCCAAGUGCUCGAGAAUGUGAGCCACUCCACGCUCCUCCUCCUCUUCCAUUACCGACCUAGACAAGCAAAGAAGCAAAUAAGAUUUCCCGGAGAAACGCAGAGAAUGCAGGGAAGAAAGCUCCAUACCCGAUCCUAACUCCCAGCGCGAGCGCAGCUCUCGCCCGAGGCUUGGCAUUCUGCCGAACGUAAUAGCACAUACCAUUGUCAAGCGUGCCAUAGACGACCCCGACCGGCGUCGACGGCAAAAAAUCCUCCUCGCGCAGCUCCAGCGGCUUGAGCGAUUUGAAGGAGAGAUCGGAUGGCAUCGCUAGAAUGUCCGCGGCGGCUGGAGCAGCAGCAGCGGCGACCUCUCCUCGCUCCAUGGCGAUCGCCAUUUCAUCCACCAGAGAGCUCGAAAGCCCUAAAAUUGGAAGCUUAGGGUUUUAUACAGAGUUAAAAGCGUUUACAUUAAAGGCGAUAACAGACUUUAGCUAACUAUACACAUUACAGUUAGUUAGCACAGCUUUACGUAAUACUUACUUGCACGAAGAGAGGAGAGAGUUCACGACGUGGAUGACGAGCCGGAGAGAGUUUGCGAGCUCGCCGGUAGCGGGUGUGAUCAUCACUUGGCGAUGGAGGUUCUGGUAGAGCUGGUCCAGGAACGCUCUCAUGUGUGGCGCUAGAACUGGAUCGCUUGGAUUCAAUGCCACUGAUGCUCCUUGGAUCCAAGUUAGCUUGCGAGCGGUGUCUUUGCCGAGAUCACAGCCCAGUUGCUGGACGAGCGAGAGCAGCACCCCUUGGCUCAGUGGAGGUGUCGCGGACGAGAAGACUGUCGCGGGAUCCACCUGGAGCGAAAGUGUCUCAUUUUCCAUGGAAGAGAUCGAAUGGAAAAGAGUACCUGGUUGCAAAGCCACGACACGACCGAGACGUCGCUGAGUGAGAGAGCCUUGUUGAAAGCUUCCUCCAGCUUCCCUUGAGAUAGUAGCCUGCUGAGCUCUUUCGUGGGAUCCAGCGUCUCUUCGACAUGCUGCAAAGAGAGCACCUGUAAGAUAUCGCAACUUAGUUACCGAGAAAGCGUCUGUUAACGUAGAGAAACGAUCACCUUAUCAGGGAGCGUCCCGCUGGCUUGUUUGAGAGGGAACUGAUAGCGAGUUUCCGCAAGAGCAGCAAGCUUUCUCUGGCCAUCAGCCAACUCAGACUUGAGUGUUUGAGCCAGGCUAUUCACCGAGUCCUGAAAACAGUAACAGGGCAGGGCGUAAGAACAUACAGAAAUGAGAAGCCGGUUUUAGACCUGAAGGCUCGAUGCUAGAGCAUUAUGGGAUGCGGAAGCUUGCUGCUGUGCAUGGCUAGUGUGCUCAGCCAUUCCUUUCUGGAAAGCUCCAUCAACUUGUUCAAACAUAGCUCUACAUGAGCGCUCGAAACUUGGGACAACGGAUCCUUCGAAACAGGUCCGCAUUGCAUCCUGCUCGCACAAGUGCUAAAUGAAAAAAACAUCACAUUCAAAAGAAUACAGCACCUGUAAUGCCUGCUUGGCAGUAGUCUGGAAUUGAGAUUGCAAGUGACGGGCCACAGAUGCAUCCAGCUUCGUUGUGACUGCCUUCUCCACAUUUGCUACAGCUUUCUCACUCAAGUUCUACACACAAAGCAAAGGUGAGAAGCACGUUGGAACUAAAAGCUUAGGGGGACAAACCUGUGAGGAUUCAGCCAAAGCAGUCGCUAUUGCCUUCUCAACUGAUUGAGAAAGCAGCUUAGCAACGGCAGGCCCGACGGCGGCCAGUUCCUUCUUUAAAAUACGCUCCAUUGCCGUCGGCACCUCCUUCGUUGAGUUUAUGCAGUUUGUCAGCGUGGUUGUCAGCUGCUGAGACCGCUCACGCUCGGCUUUCUCUCGUUUGACGCUUUCUUCCUGUAGCUUUGCAUACAUCGCGUCCACAUUCGCUUUCAAAAUCUUUUCCAGCCGUUGCCCCAGAGAUGUCUCCAUGCGCUUCACCUCUUUAGUCAUAGGCACAGUUAUCAUGACCGACAGCUGCUUCUGCAAAUCCUUAUGCAUCGCCAAGAGCUGAAAAUACAAACUUAAGAAGAUUGAAUGACAAACAAAAGCCUCAAACCUGGUUAAGAGUGUCUUGCAGACUAUCAGAAGGAGAAAUCCCGUUCGUUUCCGCCUCAGGAAGAACAGCACUUGAUGACGGAACUUGUACUGCGGGCGCAACAGCCUUGUUCUUGUUUUUCUUGCCUUUUAAAACCGCUGGAGACUGAGAAGCUGAUGCAGCAUUUCCUUCCGAGAUUUUGGAGACUUCUUUCAGGUCGCCUAGAUCCUCAACAGGCAUUCCCACACUUCUUCCGUCGGGGAGUUCGGCCUCAUCUGUCCGUUCGGAAAAGGAUGGCUGCAUCGAUGGUUGCGAGAACUUCUGAAUGAGAGCAUCUGCUUCAGCUUCAAGUUCCGGAUUGCCGCUCUCCAGCGCGUCGAUGAUCUCAUCAGUAUUCUCAAUGAAGCCUCGCGCAGUAGAAACCCUUGCCUCAUAUGUACCUUCGUCAUCGCCACCAGCUCUUGCAUCAAAUUCUUCAUCCCCUGUCGUUCCAGCUUUCAAGGGAACUUCAGUCUUCGAACGAGCAACCAUUGACAUCAACUCUGAUGGCGUAAUCAAAUGUGGCUGCUUUGACGGCUUUACACCUUCCUUUUUGUCUUCCUUCUCAUCAAUUUCCUCACUCCUCUUCGCAGGCUCUGUCACGUCCAAGACGGCAUCCGAUAAAACAGCUUUAUCGAUUUGAUCUGAAAUAACAAUAGUCAGUCGAUCACCACAUGUCGAAAUAAAAGCUACGUACCAGCGUCGGAAGGCACCGCAGCUGCCACCUGACUAUAACUAUCCUUGGGCUUACUAUCGACGUGUCCCUUGCCUUUCUCCGUAGUCGUAGCAGCGAAAUCCUUGUCGAUGCUCGGUUUUGGAGUAUGCAUUGGUGACGUUGCCUGAAUGCUUGCUGAGAAACCGGAAUCAAGUACCGAAUCUGGUUUCCCUUCUGCUGGAGGAAGGCACAUAAACAAGCUCAGCGAGUAUUGCUGAAUAGCCUGCGUCUGGACGCAGUAUACUUGCAUGGCCCCGUCACCAUCCAGUUGACUGUCGCUGGUAGCCGUAAAGCUCAGAAUCGGCAUUUUGACAGAAAACUCUGCUAAAUAGUCCAUCCGGGCCAAAGACGCCGUUGUUCCCAUCUCGACGUGUAUCGCGUAGAUAGCAUUCCUCUUUGCGUUUGCUAGCAAAAUCAGGUUGGCGCGAGGAACUAUUAUCAUCUGGUUGAAGAAGGCUUCCUCAACCUUCUUUUCGAGAGAGCUUUUCAGCUCCAAAGUUUGUAUGCAUUUCCAAUUCACCGCAUCAAUAGGAGCCCAAAGCUUCAGGUCCUUGUUCAGUGGUCCCUACAAACACAGGAUCAUUAAAAAAACUUAUCUCAUUAGUUCGAGACAUACCGCAGUUAGCAGGACAACUUGGUCUUGACGUCGAGGAGAGCUCAAAAAUGCAACCGAAUUGACGGUCAGUGUGCCGUGGGGAUUGAGUACAAUCGGUUGAUUAUCGCCCCAAAUACGAACCUGAAAAUUUGGAUGGGAACAAGAAUAACAACGUCCUGAACACAAACCGUUCCAUCUUUGGACGAAGAAGCAAAACGAUGACUUCCGGGAUAGACAGCGAGGCCAGUGACUUCGUCCUCAUGGUUGCCGACGACACGAACCCCAUCAAUGGGGGUUUUCACGUUGCACUGUAUCGGCUCUUCAGCUGAAAACGUUGUAUUUCUGAACCUAGAGAGGUCUAUAGUCAAAACAUACUUUCCAAUGCCCACUAUCAAAAAGUCCUGCACAAUUGGGAUCACUUUUAGCCGCGUUUCUCAAACAUGAAAGGAUACUAACCUGGCGUGAGUGCCAACACACGCGUGGUUGAGCAGAUUCCCAGUCCCCAACAAAAUGGAUUGCUGCUAGAAUCUGCUCGGUCGGUAAGUUCUUCCCAUCUUCACCAACAUCUUCCACUAUCCUCCGAGCAAAAACCCGCCCUUCGAUGCUUGAACUAAAACAACCACCAAAAGAAACAUUCAGUCACCAUCAUGCGAAUAGAAGAUCGCCAUAAAUACCUUGCUAGAACAUGAGUAUCACUAGACAAAAAAGUCAUAUCCAGUACCCUCUGCAAAUCGACGAAAGCGUCAGUCCGGCCUCUAGAAAAACAAGAGAAAACUUACUUGGGUAUGGCCUGCGAAGAGGUUACGUGUCCCAGUGUUAAUGUUUAGAAUACGAAUUUUUCCAGCUCGGAGACCAUAGCAGAUGUAGCUCUUGUUCACGGCAAUCUGACGUCCCACCACCAACGCAGGCUCGGAGCUAUAAACAGUGAUCGUAGAAACUUCGAGCUGAGGCUGUUCUUCUGUAUCACCCCGAUUGUCGAUAUCAUACACCGCUCGCUCUCCAGACAAGAAUCGUCCCUUUGCUGCUUUUCCCGAGAUCCUGCUUUGCGGAGCCAAACUACUCACGGGAGGAGCCGAAGGCAAGGCUGGAGCUAUCGCUGGAGGAGCCUCGGAGGUUUCAAUGGCACUGGGAGCUGUAUUGGAAGACGAGGAAGAAGUAACAGUAGUGGUAGUAGUCACAGCAGCUGGUGGAAGCUCCAAGGACGAUGGAUGGCUCAAGAGAGGAGCUUCGCUGCGAAGAUCUCCCGUGGACUGUGUGGUGAGGAGAGCCAUAAGCCUUGCUCCAUCCAAGGGCGGGCUCGACACGGAUGGCUGUGAGGAAGAUUGUUGGGGCAGUGGAGAGACAAUCGAUUGGCUGAAAGGAGCUUGAGGCUGGAUGAAAGGAGGAGCUGGGCGAGCGUCCUGGGCGGGAUAAUGCAUGAAAGAGUAUGGCGCUGGGAAUGGGAAAGAAGGCGCUGGCGAGGACGAUACUGGAGGAGGAUAAGUGCUCUGUGGAGGGAAGGGGUAAGGAUGAUACGGAGAACCUGUGCUGGAAGCCGGUGACGGCGAUGAGCUCUUGAAGAAAUUCUGGAUGUCAAAGUUUUGAGGAGCGCCCGUCCCCAUCUCUUCAGUCGCUAGAAUCCUAGAAUCACAGCCGAGGCGAGUAGAAUCAACGCGCGCACUGGAAGAAUGCCGCAAUGCUUACCGAUGAUCGAGCGGAUCACAGAGCUCCGCGGCCCCGGGCGGCGUCCAGCUUGGAAGCAGCAAGCGAUGAAGCUGGCCCUAACCCUAAAAUCUCGCUCCUUGGAUACCCAUUGUCGCCAUAGCCGGAUCACGCAAGGACUUCCGUACCCUUCAAAAGUGGAACGCGCCUGGCCGUCGGAUCCUGCUAGUACCGCGUACGGCAAAUAUCAUGACUUUGAUAUUCCCGAUUUGUAGGCAUCUUUCUUACGUUUGCGGCGUUAUUUAGUUCAACUCAUAAAUGUGGAACAUAGGAUAGAAAUAUCCAUGCUAGAUGCGAACUUUACAAAUCUCGUCAAGGAUUGCAAGAGCCUCUCUUUGGCAAAAUCUCUCCACAAAAAAAUCCUCGAGAGCGAGCGCCGAGACGAACGCUUCCUUUGCAACCUUGUGGUGGGCAUGUACGGAAGGUGUGCAAGCUUGGAAUCUGCGCAACUCGCCUUUAACAAUAUCCGCAAUCCCAACAAUUUCAGCUGGAACAUUCUUCUCACAGGAUAUGCCCAGAAUGGGCAUAUUGAGAAAGCCAAAGAGAUUCUUGAAACGAUGCCGAAUCCCAACACUGUCUCAUACACAACGGUCUUAGCUGCCAUUUCUUACUAUGAUAAAAUCGAAUCUCUUACGAAGUUCUUUGAAAACAUACCAUGCAAGGACAUCUUUACGUGGAAUGUGAUGCUUCACGCAUAUGCCCGGACGGGGCAUAUGCUACUUGUUACCGAGACUCUGGAGAGAAUGCCCGUGGCAGACAUAGUCUCCUGGGCAAUCGUUAUUCAAGCUCACGUAGACGAAGAUCUUGAUCAAGCCAUUGUUCUAUUUAGUUCGGUUCCAGCAACGGAUCUUGUGUGCUACAACAUCGUCAUGCAAGCUUGUGUGAAGCACGGCCAGAUAGAAAAAGCUCGAGACAUCUUUGAAUCCAUGCCAGAAAGGAACUUGGCAUCGUGGAACAUCAUGGUGGGAGCUUACGCAUCCAGUGAUCAUGCAAACUGUGCUGAGGCACAGGCGAUAUUUGAGCAAAUGCCCGCUCGAGAAAUUCUCUCGUAUAAUUGCCUCCUUACUUUUUACGUUCACAGCAAUGAGAUUGGAGUAGCGAGGACGAUCUUCGAAAGACUUAUGCCCGAGCACGACACGGUCUCGUGGACCAUCCUUCUCACGAAAUAUGCCCAUCUUGGGUAUCCAAACAUCGCCGAAGAGAUGUUUAAUAGCAUGCCUGUCUACGAUGUUUAUGCUUGUGAUGCAAUGCUGGCUUCUUAUUGCCAGGAUGAGAACCUUGAGAAAGCGGAACUAUUGUUUGCGUCCAUGCCGAAGCGAGCCAUAGUCUCGUGGAACACACUUCUCGCCGGAUAUGCCCGCAAGGGGCAUGCUGCGAAAGCAAAGAAGCUGUUUGACGAGAUGCCCGAGAAAGAUAUUCUGUCGUGCAACUCCUUACUUCUGGCUUACGUUGAAUCCAAAGAGAAGGUUUUCUUUGAUCAAGCCUGGAAUUUUUUUCUCACACGGACGCCACACCACGACGUUGUUUCGUGGAACACCCUGAUAUCGGCCUAUGCCCAAAACGGGUAUGUAAAGAGCGCCCGAAACUUAUUCGACAGUAUGCCACACCGGAACCAAGUGAGCAAUAAUGCAAUGAUCUCCGCGUAUGGAAGUUUUGGAACAAUCGAGGAAACAAAGCUCUUCUUUGACACAAUGCCGGCUUGGGACUCACAGUCAUGGAGCGCGAUGAUGAAUGCCUACUCUCGAAAUGGACGAAGCAGCGACGCUAUCGAUUUCUUCCGAGACUUGUGCUUCUCAGGAAUACUUCCGGACGAGCUCAACUUCGCGAGCGCUCUCGAGGCCUGUGCGAGUGUCACGGAUCUAGCCAAUGGCCUCGAGAUCUACUACAAGUUUGUGAGCUCGGGACUUCCCUGGGAUACAAAAGUUGGCUGUGCUCUCGUCGACAUGCUGGGAAAAUUCGGCCAGUGCGAUCUCUCGCGACAGGUUUUCGAUCGAGUUUCCCACCGCACUGUGGAUUUGUGGGCUGUUUACAUGCAAGCUCUUGCUCACAACAGCAAGAACUUGCUCGCGUUGCAAGCUUUAUACGAGAUGUACCUCGAAGGUUUGAAGCCGGAUCAAUCGGUGUUUGUCACCAUUCUCUCCGUUUGCAGCCAAGCGGGAUUUGUCUCUCGGGGAUUGGAGCUCUUUGCAAGAAAUUUUGAUGAUCUCUCCAGCAGUGAGAUCUUUAGCUCUUUGCAUUACCACUGCGUGAUCGACCUUCUGGCAAGAGCUGGGCGGCUGGAAGAAGCCCAAAGAUUAUUCCAAGCCAUGCCUUGCAAGCCGGGCGUGAAUGCGUGGUCGGCACUGCUCAAUGGUUGUGGCUUGCAUCGCGAUCUUGAUCCAGCAAGCUUGCGAAUUUUGGCGGCAAUCCAAUGGUCGACAUUUAAAGCUGGUCAAUCAACGGUCCACAUUUGAAUGGAUUCACAACCGAGAACGCUCUUCGAGUGGAACGUACUCCUUUCUUCUUGCGCUCGCAGAGGAUGCCUCGAGGAGGCAAAGUACGCAUUCGAUUCUAUGCCCGCUUGGAGCCCAGUUUCUUGGAAUGCCCUUCUCGCAGCUUGCGAGAAGAAUGGAUCCGUGGACGAUGCCAGGAAAUUCUUCAACCAGAUGCCGUUCAAGAACCUCAUCUCCUGGAAUUGUAUCCUUUGCUCCUAUUCUCAAAAGGGACACCUCGCAGAGGCCGAAGAGAUCUUUCAUUCCAUGCCACAAAGAAACAUUGCUACGUGGAACACCCUGCUAGCUGCGUAUUCCCUCCGAGGUCUCCUAGAGAAAGCUACGCUUGCGUUCGAAGAAAUCCCGGAAAGAGAUCUUUUCACUUGGAACAGCAUGCUUAGUACAUAUGCCCGUGUUGGGGAGUUUUCUCAGGCAAAAAGAGCGUAUGAGACAAUGCCAGAGAGGGACUUAAUCACCAUGAACGUUUUUCUAAAAUUUUUGGUCAACCGACACCUUUUAGAGGAGUCUAUAGAUUGUUUUUGUUUGAUGCCUGAGAGGGAUCUUGUGUCGUACACAACAUUGCUCACAGCAUAUGCCUCGAACAGGCAAUUUGAUAAAGCGGAAACACUGUUUGCUAUCAUGCCUCAGCAAAGUAUUGUCUCCUGGACGGCCCUUCUUUCGAUGUUCGUUGAGGCUGGAAAAUUUCAUCAGUCAUUGAAAACGUUUGAAUCAAUGCCGAAACACGAUAUAGUUUCAGCAAACGCAAUGCUUACUGCGUAUGCCCGGUCUGGGCGCUUUUGGGAGAUGAAAACCCUGUACGAUAGGAUGCCUGUGCGUAACAUCGUCUCGUGUAACAUUAUGCUUGAGUCGUAUACGCGAUGUAAAAGCUUAGGGGACGCUCUUUUGUUUCUAGAAACUAUUUCUCGCUUAGACUUAGUGUCAUGGAAUAUCGUUCUUGCAGCAUAUGCCUUAGCCGGGCAUAUUGAGUCUGCAACAUGCACAUUCGCUCAAAUGCCUGCAAAAGACUUAGUGUCGUGGAAAGCUCUUCUUGGUGGCAACAUGAGAAUUAGCGAUUAUGCAAGCACCAUCAAAGUUUUCAAUGAGAUGCCUGAGCGAGAUGCUGGAUCAUGCACCUACAUGCUCACAGCUCACAUCCAAGCCCGCCGCCAACCUCUUACAAAGAAAUUCUUCUUCCAUGACAUGAUCGAGCGAGAUCUCGUGACAUGGAACACUAUGCUCAAUUGCUACGCACAAAGAGGCCUCCCAGGAUCGACCGAGCUCUUCUUUCACACAAUGCCUGAGCGUGACACCAUCUCCUGGACGGUUGUGUUACACUCUUACGCAAGCGUCGGCCACCUCGAACGCGUACAGGAUAUCUUUUCUAAAUUGAAGAUGGCGGCCGAGCUUGCGGAUGGGAUUUGCUUCGUCCUAGUGCUCGCUACGUGCGCACGGCGGGGAAAACUCUACGAUGCCCGGUCACUUUUUACCUCCAUGGUAGCUGACUAUGGUGUGGAGCACACCGAGCAGCACUAUUCUUGCAUGGUUGACGCACUUGGCCGGGCUGGUCAUUUGCGCGAGGCGCAAGAACUCUUGAGUAGCAUGCCGUUAGUUCCCAGGAUCUUGGAGUGGUCGUGUGUUCUUGGAGCCUCCAAGCUCCACUGUGAUGGCGACCAUGGAAGCUGGGCAGCUACGGAGGUCCUUUGUUUGGACCCAGGAAACCAAGUAACAUAUACGAUACUUGCUAGCAAUUCAUUCCCUUUUGGAUGAGCUUAAAGAUUGACACAAACGGAUGUACUAUUGGAUCUAAGUGCCGAACUGUUUGGCAAUGUGUUUGUCUGCAUGGAUUGUACAUGCACCAAGAGGUUCAUCCAUAGAACAUCGCUGCAUUCCUUGGAGCAAUCUCUCGAGCUUUACUCGACAGGUACACAUCCUCUUUGAUCACGUCAGUGAUAAAUCCUCAUCUCGCAAGUGCAGCUCAGUGGAAAAGGAUUGGCAUGAUCCUCAUGGAUCGAUAUAGAAACUCAAGGUCUCGCUAACCAGAUGUGCAACGAAAGUGGAUAGAUUCUAUCCAAGAUCAUAGUAGAGCUCCAAAACGUUGUGAUGGUGAUGUUGGGCACUAGCAAUUAGCAUGGAUGUCGUUUUGCCAUUCAAAUGCUCAAGUUUAAGCAGCUCAUACAGUUUCAACCAUCGCAUGUGAUUCAAGCUUACUUCAAAGUAUUCAAUAUCAUUUGUGUGGAGGGGCAGUUUGUAAAUAUCAAAAUCUAAUUUGGUGCACAGCCAUAGUAUGGCAAUAAAUAUAUAAUUGUGUGUGAAAGCAUUAUAUAUUUACACAUGUGUGAAUUUAUUUUUUUUGUUUUGAGUUGCAUACAAAAAUGUUAUGCACACAAUAAAUUUUCGAUUGUUAUAUAGGCAAUCAAAAUGUGAUUAUGUGUAUAACAUUUUUGUUAUAGUUUUUGUCAUAGUUUUUGGUUAGUUAUAACUAACCAACUAGUUAGUUAACCAGUUAACCAGUUAUAGUUAGUUAUAAGUUAGUUAUAACUAGUUAGUUAGUCAUAUUUUUGUCAAACUACCACACAAGACUGAUACCAUAUCAUCCCAAAUAAUACGAUGUCAUUGCAAAUCUCAAGGGUUGUACAUCAGCAAGUAUGCACCAUAGGUUUCACACAAGCAAUUAUACAAUGUUUAUGUGAGAUAAAUAUUCUAAAACUCAUCUUUUGCAUUUACAAUAUCAUGUGAAGAUGAAAUUCAUGAGUGAUCUAUGGAGUAGUGGGACAAGAAGCACUAUCACCAUAAUCAAGUAUUGAGUGGGAGCUUCUUAUCUUGUCAUAACAUUAUAUAUUAUAAUAAAGUGCUUAGUUAGUGCUUUUUUGGUCACAACUGUUAACUUUUGUUUCUUCGGCAAGUAUGUAAUGUGAGACACAAAUCCCUAAGCUCCAAAAUGGAGCUAAAAGGGUGCCACAUAGUAGUGGCCGAAGCAAAAGCCAAACAAAUGUAACACAUUUGGACUAAAAAAUUUCGAUUUGGAUAGUCGAAAGUGAGGAUAGAACUCCUAACAAAAUGCUUAGGGAAUGAGCACGAAGCAAGUAAUAAGUGAGUCUCCAAAAAAGGCACUUGAGAUGGACUCGAGAUAGAGUCUGAGAAGGAGUCCAAAAUGCACCCGAAACAGAAUCUAAAAUGGGACCUGAGAUGGACCCAAAAUAGAGUCCAAAAUCGAAUUCAAGAUGGACCCUAGAAGGAGUCCAAGAUGAAGUCCGAAAUGGACCCAAGAUGGAAUCUAAGAUGGACUUGAGAUGGAGUCUGAGAUGGAGUUUGAGAUGAACCCAAGAAGGAGUCCGAGGUAGAGUCUGAGAUGGAUCUAAGAUAGAGUUUGAAAUGAACUUGAGAUAGAGUCCAAGAUGGAGUCCAAGAUAGAAUUGAGACUGAGACUGAAAUUGAGUUCGAGUCCAAAAUUGAGUUCGAGUCCGAGAUUCGAGUUCGAGAUCCAAGGUUCGAGUCCAAGUCCAAGAUCUGAGUUCGAGGUCCAAGCUCUAAGUCCAAGUUUGAAUACUAAUAUAAAUUGUUGGGUGAAAGCCCAAAGCAAUUGUUCUCCAAGGGGGGCUGUAGGGGGUUCCAAAAAUAUAGUAAGAAGAGUGUGGGGGUUGGACUUUAGUGGAAAUAGUUUGGCUAGGAAAAGCUAGUGUAGCCUAAGAAGGCUAUGAUGAUAUAACCAUUGAGAAGUCCAAGGCUAGAGUGAAUAUGGACAAUUAAAUGAGGUAGUUUAAUGAAGUGUUCAAAAGUCGAUUCUAACUCCCCUGGGAGAUCAAAUAAUCAAUGCUCCUAGUCUAGUGGGUAGCACUACCUACUUGGAUACUUGGCAUGGCUCAUCAGAAUCUCGCUCUAGCCACCUAUUUAGGGCAUCUAAAGGCAAAUGGGAACAAUACCCAUGAAACUUGCAUAGGGCCACAGUGUUAUGAAAUGUUGUCUUAAAGUCGCAAACUAUGGAUAGAAAGAGGAGCAAUCCACUUGUGUGGUGACCAAUGAUAUAGUCAUACAACAAAGAAGUUCUAGAGGUCAUUGGGACAUAGUGGUCGGGCUUGUGGGCCUUGACCCAGAGACAGUGUUAACAAACAUAGUUGUGGAUAGAAAGGGACUUGAUAGAGACUGAAAAAAGGAUAUUGGGGAAAGUUAUUCCUCAAGAUUCAAUCCAAAAUGUAUUUUGACUUUCAUUGUCCAUAAACGGAUAAGAGUUGCUAUACAACUGAAAGGAAGAAUGUACAACAAAAAUGGCCAUACCAAUAAAAAGGAAGGGAGAAUUGGGAGAGAUAGAGCAAAGAGAAUAAAGUAAACAUAACUUCCCUCAUUGAACAUUUUGGUCCCUAAACAGGAGAUGUCUUGUUUCAGAGUACUCAAUUGUCUCAGUCCAUGACCUGGUUUGGGAGGAGUAACCUCUGUUGCAUGUGGCCAGAGACAGAGCUGGAAUCUCAAGCUGACUUGGAAGCAGACCCUUCUGAGCUUUAAGCUCGGUAUAUGCAACACGUUGUGAAGGGUGGGAAACACAAUUUAUAGGCCACUUUGUUGAUCUAUUCUUCAAAGAAGUGUGGGUGCAGUUUUGAUUGAGACAAUGCCUUGCUCCUCAAUGUGUGGUGCUCAGGUCUUAACCUUACAUACACCCACUCUCUAAACGUCCGAUGUUUGUCCACAUAAUACUUCAUCCUCGUCUGGGCUACUUCUAAGCGUUGUUGCACCCUGGAAUGCAUUGCUUAUAUUGCUUAGAGGUGAUCAUCAACUGCUGGGGAAGCUGAUGGUCAGAAGUUGAAAAGUCCUAGGACAUCUUGGCCAUGAAGUGCCACAUAUGGUGCCAUAAGUGGUGUCUUGUAUUGUAAGCAUACUCAGCAUGUAGAAGCCAUCACAGCCAUGAAGUUGGUUUAUCCUUGCAGAAAGCCUAUAGUGGUGUCUCAAAUGUUUGAUUUGUGUGCUCAAUUUGAGUGUCAGACUAGCACUGCUGAAACUGAGCGUUGUUCCCAGGCUUCUCCAAGAAUUUCCAACGAACUUGGAGCCUCUAUUUGAAACGAUGUCAUUUGGAAUACCAUGAAAGCGUAGAAAAAAGCCUUGGCCACCUUGUGAACUGAGAACGUGACUUUGAUCCAAAGUUUAUUUAGGAAUUUUUUUAGGAUUAACAAAAAUGCUUUAUAGAUUUUGUAAGAAUUACCAGUCUUUUAAUGUUGAUGAUACAAUAUUAAGAUAUAAUUUUUCUAUGAGCAUUAUCACAAGUCUAAAGGCUUUUGGAUGUAUAAUUUCAUUUUCUUGAUGUUGUGCAUGUUAAUUAACUUUGCUACUACUAAUUGUUCUUCAAACAUUUUAUGGUUUUCUUUUGGAUUCAGUACAAAAGAAAUCAAUUUCCAGCUCUUGGGCUCCUGCCAGACAAAGAAGCAUUGCAUGCUCCAAAAUUCUGCAAAGCUGCAUUUUUACACAAUCACAAGCUGGAGGAGUCCGAUUGUCCCAGUUCUCCCCAUUAUGUAUGGGAUAGAAGUGAAUGACCAUCACAACACCUGUUUAAAAGCAAAUGAUUGGAGUAAUCUAGAUUGUUUAUCAGCUCCCAGUAGAUGGCAUAGUGGCCAGGCUGCUCCGACAGGUUUGAGUGAAUAAACCAUCAAUCCAAAGUUCUAAACUCAAUGAUAGUAGAGAGAGAGAGAGAGAAUUCACUAAUUUAGUUGCUAGUGUUUCUUCUAGUGAGCAACAGGUACGGAGCAGCAUUUCUCGGCUCAAGGACAAACACUCUACUUGCCGCCAAGUUCAUCGUGGAGUCAGGGCUAUAACUCUUCCUGCAAGCUCCGAGAAAGCAAGUCCACUCAGGAGCUUGCGGCUUGAACGGCAUGUUUGCGAGAAGAUCCUGGGCUUCGUCCAGUCGCCCAGCUCGCCCCAGCAAGUCGAUCACACACCCAUAGUGGUGCUUGCUCGUUCUCACGCCAUAGUCCAUUCUCAUGGAGCAAAACCAUCCAUAUCCCGCCUCCAAGUCCCCCGAAUGGCUACACUCGAGUAGAAUCCACGUAAAGCUGAUCUCAUCUGGGCUGCUCGCGCCUUCCAUCGUCAUCUCUCUAAACAUCUCCUCGGCGGUGCCGAUGUUUUGCGAGCUCUGUGCGAGAACUCCCAGCAUCGUGUUCCACAGCGGCAAAUCCUCGUCGCGACUGAUGGUCUCGAAGAUCUUUCUCGCGGCGCUGGGCCUGCCAUCACCGGCGAUGGCGGCGAUGAGCAAGCUCCACGACGCAGCGUUCUUGUGCGGCAUCGCGGUAAAGAACCGCUCGAGCUGUUCCAUAUGCCCUUCUCGGGCAUACGCGACGAGGAUAGCGUUCCAGGAGCUCACGUCGUGGGCAGGCAUGGAAUCCACAAUCGCCUUGGCCUCUUCCACACGCCCAAGCUGGGAAAACCCAUUUACCAUCGCGUUGCAUGCCACCACGCUCCACUCGCGCAUCGCCGAGAACACGUCCAUCGCCUCAAGCAAAAGCCCUCGUUGUGCAUAUGCGUGGAUCGCCGACGUAGAUGAAACCACGUCGUGGUGUGGCAUCCUAUCCAGCAGAGCUUCGGCGUCCUGGUAUCUCCCACUCUGAGCGUAGGCGCACAUCAUGGUGACAAACGAGACGAGGUUCUGGCGCGGCAUGGCCGCGAAGAAAAUCCUAGAAUUCUCCAAGGAGUUUAGGUCGCGAGCAUAGACGCUCAGCAUGGCAUUCCAGCACGCGAUAUCGUCAUUGUACCGAGCCGGGAUGCUCGCAAAGAUGCGCUCCGCUUCACUGGCUCGAUUGCUGUGAGCGCAGCCGCCGAGAAUCGUCGUGCACGACACGGAGUUUCGCUCGGGCAUGGCGUUAAAGAGCUCCAAGGCAGAAUCAAGAUGCUCGCAUUGGGUAUAUGCAGAUAGCAUGGCGUUCCACGAAAUAAAAUCCCUCGCAGGCAUCUCGUCAAAAACCCUUUUAGCUUGUUCUAAAUGCCCGUGUUUUGCAAAGCACGACAGCAUAGCCGUGCAUGAAAUGGUAUUCCACUCGGGGAUUAACCCAAAAAACUCCUUAGCUUCAGACAGAUGCCCCAAGGUGGCAACUGUAGCAAACAUGGCACUCCACGAAGUUAAAUCUUUCGCGGGCAUGCGAUCAAACACAUCCUUGGCUUCCUCAAAACAAUCCGCUUGCGAGUAUCCUGACAACAGCGCAUUCCAGGAGCUCAAGUUCCAAACCGGCAUCCCAUCAAAAACCUCCUGUGCUUUCUCCAAAUGCCCAGCUUGGGCAUAUCCAGUAAGCAUCACAUUCCACGACACCGGAUCCCUGUCCUCCAAAUCCAUGCCAUCAAAGAUCGCCCUCGCUUCAUCCAUACUCUCACCCUGGACGAGCGCAGUCAAAAUCGUGUUCCAUGACACCGAGUCUUUGCACGGGAUGGCCUCGAACAACCGCCUGGCGUCCUCCAAUUCCCCGUUCUGGGCAUGCGCCGAGAGCAGCAAGUUCCACGAGAAGACAUCUUUGUGGCGGAUGCCGUCAAAGACGCCGCGAGCGUUUUGGAGGCUGCCGCAUUUGCCAUACAUCUGGACGAGCAAGUUGGAGAGGAAAGUGUCGAAUUCGAGACUCUUGUGCAAGUGGAGGAGCUGUGCGUGGAGCUGCGUCGCUCGAGAAAGGCUUGUGCAUGACUUGAUGCGCUCGACCCACUGGCCAACGCCCAGUUUCUCGUGUAUGCUUCUCAUGGCUUUUCUUGGCAGCGGCCUGGAAAAUGAGAAAACCAAGUUAAGUCUCGUGGCGGGUGCCGCACAGGGUGCAUGGGGAAUGUAGGGAGAAGGACGUGAUGCUCACAAACUUGUUGUCAACUUUCAUCAUAUAUAUUGAUUGAUCUAUGAGAAAUUUAGACAAGCUGGACAUGGACAAGAUUAGUGUAUUUUUUUGUAUCUUCUUUAACCUCCACACUCCAUGACUCCAUUCAAUAAGUUUAUACCACUAUUUGUCCUUUUGUCAUUCCAAAGUCCCCAAUCUUCUUGAUCAUCAGUUCCAGUCAAGCAUGCAAUCUCCUUGGCAUUGCUCCCCACCACUUCGCAGGCCCAGUAUUAUACUGGAGAACUAAGUAACCAUUCUGCCACUUCUCAAGCUUGAAUACUCCGAAUGGCGGCGAGACAAGCUUGAUUUCUCCAAUUGCACGCUAACCUUUAGCAACUGUGAUGCUAAUCGCUCCUCGUCUGAUCGAAGAGCCUUCAACCCAUACCAUUCACCCCCGCGAGAAAUUACAGUACUCCGCCGAGCAUCGAUCCAUUCGCGCUACAUCAACACAGAGUUCCAAGCUCCGAUAUGGACCAUAGGCACAACAAGCUUGUAUCGUCUUGCAUUCUUGUCACUCACCAUGGCCAUUCCAAAGGAAUAUUUUGGUAAGAUUCAAAAUUGGGUAGUGCCUUUGAACAGAAAAGAUCACACACAAAUACUGUCCAUAUAGUAGUGAAGUCCUUCCAACUCGCAAAGAAGAAGAAGGCAAGGUUGCUCUCAAGAUCGUAGGCCAUAGAGCCUUUAUAGUAAAGAGGAGUAUAACUCUCCUCCUGGACAGUUUGCCAGUGCUGCCGAGGAAAGCUCGAUCAAAGACGACGAGGAAAUGGAUGAUGAGGACGAGGACUGGAUGUCCUGGAAGAUUGGCGAGGAUGUUUUGGAGAUACUCAUCAAGUUCCUGUGGCUCCAUCCAGGCCAUUGUCUCUUACAAUUGGCCGAUCUCUUUGAAGAGCAUGCUCCUUGUGCUGCACUUUCGAAAGCUUUGCUUGGCAUCCUGAGGCCUGGAGCAAUGCGAGCUUUUGUGGACACAAAUCCAUCAAAAAGUCCAAUGGUAUUUCCUUCCAUGACAACUUCCCACCAUUGCGACUUUGUAGAACAAGAUCAAGCUUGAGAUUAGUUGGGAUUGGACUUGCCAAAAGCAUGAGCUUCUUAGAAUUUCGCCUCGGGGAUAUCUUAGAGAUGGUUCCAGUGGAGGACUUGGUUGUUAGUGUAAGGCCCUUCACACAUCCCUUUAGCAUACUUCUCCCAAGCAUAUUCUCUAGAAGCAAUAAUGGUUAUGCCUAGUCUUUGAAAUCGCUUCCAUGGUUCUUGCCAUUUUCCAGGGCACUCUAUGUCACUGGUGCCAUGCAGCGGAUAGCAGACCUAAGCCAGAAUCUAGCGAGCUGCUAGAUAGAAAACACUUCUUGAUUGCUUAGACCCUAAACCUACGAUUAUAGUGACCAACCUAGAUUUCUCCAAGGAGGUUACGUUGCAAGCAUAGACAUGUCGUUCCAGCACACGACAUAGUCAUUGUAGAUGACUGCUCCGCUGGUAGGGUCAGCCGCCGAGGAUCGUCGUGCAUGACACGGAGUUUCGCUCGUGGCAAAGAGCUACAAGGCCAAAUCAAGAUGCCCUCAUUGGGCAUAUGCUGCUGCAUGGAAUCUCGUCAAAACGUGCGACGGUAUUCCACUCGGGAAUCAAACCAAAAAAACUCCUUGAAUUCUUGAAGAUGCCCAAGGGUGGCAACAGUCGCCAGCAUGGCGCUCCAGGAAGUUAAGUCCCUCGCGGGCAUACCAUCAAAGACAUCCUUCGCUUCCUCAAAACGGCGCAUUCCAGGAGCCCAAGUGGCAUUCCAUCAAAUACCUCCUCAAUGCCCACUGUGGGCAUUCCACGACACUGGAUCCCUUUCCUCCAAAUCCAUGCCAUCAAAAACAGCCCUCGCUUCUCGCCGUCAUGUUCCAUGACACCGAGGCUUUGCACGGGACCGCCUGGCCUCCUCCAAUUCCCCGUUCUGGGCAUGCACCGAUAGCAGCAAGUUCCACGAGAAGAUCUGGAUGGUGUCAAAGACGCUGCGAGCGUUUUGGAGGCUGCCGCAUUUGCCAUACAUCUGCUUGGAGAGGUAAGUGUUGAAUUCGAGGCUCUUGUGCGACUGUGCGUGGAGCUGCGCCGCUCGAGAGAGGCUUGUGCAUGACUUGAUGCGCACGACCCACUGGCCAACGUUCCCAUCGCCCAGAUUCUCGAAGAUCAUGUAGGCUUCUCAUUUGACGAUCUUGCCAGACAAGCUUUUCUCGUGGCAAUGGCCUGGAAAAAUCGUCACGAGAAAACGAAGUUAGAGUCAUAGCGAAUUUAUUCGCGAGCGACUAGGCUACCAACUUAAAACUUUACUCGAAGUUUCACCUCGUCGUUUCGUGGAAGUCAUUGUUCUUCGAGGAUCAUGCUGACGUUCUAGCGUUGCCAAAACAAUGAUGCCGUUUGCGUGCUGCAGUGCCCAACAUUAUCUUCACACACCUUUGUGGAUCAUUCAUGCUCGCCAGAUCGAUGCACUGACCACUGUUUUCUGGAAUAAACAAAUGCAAGCUGGUCAGAGAAAACAUCUAUUGGGGACAAAGAUACCUCGAGCGUUCAAAUCCAAUGCCCUCCGAAUUGUAUCCGCCACUGGCAUCGUCCCAGGCCCUCAUCGGCUCAGCGGUCCAGCGGCUGGAACAAAUCCAAGGUGUGACGCCACGAAGGGUGCCCCGCUAGCACGAGGCUAUUAAUGCCGUCCUUCUCACCAAGCCACAUACUUGUACGUCUUAAACUCUCUCCACUACAAAAGGCGAGACUGUCCGAAGAAUUCGGAGCCCGCUGAAUGGAGAAUCCACUAGCGCUUGCAAAGAGUUCCUGGCUGUUUAGUGUGCUCGUGGAGCGCGUGAUGGCUAUGCUGCUCGCUACUGAUCGUUGCCUCGAGCUGUUUGCAGAUGGAUAUGAGAGUCUAGAGAACUGGGGGUCGUGCGGGAUGGUAGGCGCUCCCUCGGCAUUGGAAAGAGUAGCGGAGAUCGGACUGGUCCAAGACUAGUUUGUGCAUUCAGCACUGAUCUGCAAAGAAGAAAAAAGGAUCAGUAUAUUUAGAUCUAUGUAGAUCUAUCUACCUUGUCAAUAGUAGAGUGUUCGAGUCCGAUGGAAUCGAAGGUUUUUGUUUGCUCCUAUUCCCGACGACCACAGCCACCAAUCCACUUGCACGCUCAGGACCUGGAAAUUUUCAAUGUCACGAACAGUUUGGUAUGAUAUCCAAUCGACUCAUACCUCUUUCCCAGCCUUCGAUCUUAGUUUCUCGCGGAGCAUCUCCACUGCUGCGAUUGUACAAGCACGAAUUUCAAUCUCUUCCUCCGUGCCGGACGACAGCUCCUCGAGAUUGUCUACUAUUCGAGCAAGUUUCGGGCUGUAGUUGAGGAUUCCCCACUGCCGAAGAACAGCAGGAACAAUGUAGUCCGCAAACAUCGUUAUAGCAGCAAUGUCCGCGAAUGCUCCCAAGCCUUGGCCCUUGAAAGCUCCCCAAAGAUCAGCAACAAAUAUCUGAGCUCUCUUGUAAAGGAAGACUUGAUGCCCCUUGUACACGGAAUGGUCCCUGAAGCCUGGACGUGUACAAGGAUCAAAAGAACAGCUCAUACAUAUCCAAGAACAACUGAUUACCAGGAAAAUGCAUAGCAACCAGUUCCACAAGAGCGACAGCCGAGCCGCGUGCAGCAAGGAUUAAGUUUACUGCUUGUCCAUCGAAGCUUCUCUCUAGUUCAGUCCCCACCUAGAAAAAACAAAAGAGAGAAAAAAAAAUUAGUGUGCGUGUCAGUGCACAAAUUGAAUCUAACCUCUGCUAAUAAACGGGCACGUUCGUCCUGUAGAGGAAGUGGGCGUGGCCAUUCAAGUAAUUCACGCAACUGAAUGCCUGCGUUUGACACACGCAGCUAACUAAUCAGCAAAAAAACUUGACCGCAAAAGCUAAAAAACAAGCGCUUACCUGUGAAAGACUUGAGACUCUUAGCAUCGAAAAUGCUGUUAUCUCUUUGCAAAGCGCGCUUGAGCCCCGCCGCCAAGUGAUCGUAGUGAAGGUCGCCAUCUACAAAAAACGACAGUGUCAAGCAACAAAAGAACAACAAAAGAACAACAAAAGAAAGGAAUGAUCAAACCUGGCCAAAAGCAGAAGUUGAGAGUGUCAAGGACCAACAAGUACUGUGCCGUGAGAGGACCACCAUCGAAGUAAUGGAUGCCUUCGAAGUCCCAUGAAACCGCUGGGAGAUCUCCGUGCAGACCAUCCACCACCUUUGCAAUGCCUGCACAAUCACCACGGAAGAUCAUCCAAAAGAAGGAAAGAAAGAAAGAAAAAGUUCUGGAUGAAAAAUUCUCACCGGCGGGAUCGAUGGAAACAUGAGACGCGUGAUCGGCUACCCAUUCCGUCGAGGAUCGAACAGCCAAGGAGGAGAAUGGCGCUGCCACGGCAUUGCGCUCUCCGUGAUCCGCCAUAGCCUUAGGGUUUAAGCGGCACUAGGCAUUAACCAAAAAAAAAUGGCCCUGUACACUCAAGAAAGAGAGAGAGGAAGAACCGAGAUUUCUACUCUAGGAAGAAAGAAACGAGGGAUCGAGCGAGAGAAUCACGCUGUCUCUCAGCUCCUGGUGCCGCCGAUGAUCUUCUUGAUGGAAUGCAGCAGCUUCGUCCAGAAGGACACUUCCGGCUCCUCUUCGCCGGGCUCUUCCGCGAUCUCGAUGCCCGACUCGAUGUCGACGUUGCCGCCGCGCGGUGGCGAUCUGCGAGAACACGCACGAAAAACGCCUCAAGCAUCGAUAUUUCGGAGGAAACAAGCGCAAGAACGAGGAUUCUCGCCGCCGAUCGAUCGCAGCGCAAGCAAGAAGGCGCCUACCUGUGCUGCCAUGGCGCCGGCGGGAUUGCGCCUCGGACGCGUUCCAUCGCUUGGCGCAUUUGAGCGAGAGACCGAGACGAAGAACAAAGGAAAUGCGCGGCAAAACCCUCAAACGCAUGGCAAAAUAUUUCACCUUUUAUUCAAGUGUAGGUCUCAGAGAUGGAAGAUAGAAAUUUGGAGAUAACGCUCAUGAUCAUAGAGCAUUUCUAUAGAUACCUUUGUUCGUGCCACUUCUUCUUAGUUCUCCCUUGAGAGAGUUCUUCUUUGGAGCCCGGAUGAUGAUCAAAUCUCUAGCAAGCUCGCCGAUUCAUCGUCACUGCCAUCGCUGCCACUGCUGCUUCCGCUUCCACCCUCGGAGCUGCUGCUGCUUCCACUCUCGCUGGAGCUUGCCUUGGACUCUGGAUGAUCCGGCACAGCAGGAUGGCUCUCGAUCGAGAGCGGCGGCGGCUUGGAGUUGAGCUGCCCGUCCUCGUCCUCGCUCACAUCCACGUCCUCGAGCUCGUAGUCACUCUCGUGCUCCGCCAUGCCCUCCUCCAUGUUGUUGCUCACGUCGAUGUGCUCGACGUUGUUGGCUAGAACACCACCGCUCGGCUUGAGCUUCUUCGCGUCCGCGGCAGCAUCGUCUUCCAUGUCCACCGGCGAGAACUCAUCCGCGUGUGAUCGCUUCGGCGGAGGAGAUGGCGCUGCGGCUUUCGAUUUUCCUUUGCUCCCAGCAGCUUUCUUCUCGUUUUUCUUGUUGCUCGCUGCGGCCUCGGGCUGGCCACCAAUGACAAUCUCUUCGAUGUGUUCCUGGAAGAAAAACCAAGAGCACGAAACUAAGAACAAGCCCAAGAGCAUAGAAGCAAGGAAGAAAGUUCGAGGAUCACAUACCCGAGGGCCUCUAUAGACGUUGGCAUCGUCUCCGGCGCUAGCACUGCUCGUUCCAUUCAGAUGCAAAGGCGAUCGAUUUUCCGGAGCUGCGAGAGCCGAGGAGGAGGAGGCCGCAGACUCGCCAGGCAACCGGAGAUGCCUGAGGCUCUUCACUGCCCUGUGGAGCCUUUCUAAUCUGAAAGUCCUUCCAUCAAAGAACAAGAUAGCAUCGGAGUCUUUGCAGUCCUCGCUAAUACCUUGAAACGCGACCUUGGGCUUCCCUGGCUGAUUGUUUGAGAGCUCCACAGUCACCUCGGCGCCCUUGUCUUUGUGGAGCGACCCUGGCCGGCUCGUAUCGAUCGAAGCAGGCUUGAAUUCAUCUAAGCGCCACAGGCAAAGAAAGAAAUCUCAGCUGGAAAUAUCGAUCGAGAUCGAGAUCGCACUUACAGCGCAGGAAGUAGAAGCGCUUGGACGGAUCCUUGAGACUGGAUCCGAGCUGUAGAGGAUACCAGUGCUCCGCCUGGGGCGCCGUGGAGGGCUCCUUGGGGCGCGCAGCCAUAGCUCGCUCAAGAACCCUAAUUUCGUGGGCUUUGGCCAAGAGACCUAAUCUCGAAACGCCAGGGAUUUUGGAGCGAGGAUGGAGGGCAAGAUCGAUGCCGAUGGCUGCACCUAUACCAGGAUUCGCCGCAAGACUUGCAAUACCGUGGAGGAUCCAGAGACGAGGAAGCCGAUCUUGAGGUGUGAGAGGCUCGAGCAGCUCCUCCGCCACUGCCCUGGGAGGUAAUCUCUAUUUCUUUCUUCCAAUUUCGAUCAUCAUCGAUCUAGGAAGCCCGAGGUCGUGGAGUCCAAGAGAGAGGAGACAGAGGAGGACGUUCCAAGCGAGGAGGAGGGCGAUCACCAGCACAGCCUUGGCUCUAGCAGCGGCAAUCCAUUGUCACGAUUCUCCGAGGCGCUGGAGGAGCAUCUAUCGGGCGAGAUCGAGGGAUUCAUGCGCGCGGCGGAAGAGAUGGCAAACGAGCUGUUUGGGAACUUUGGGAUCUUCAAGCACGGCGAGAGAGAGAGGGGCAGCGACGAGGAGAGAUUCCACCGGAGAGCUCCAUCGCCGCAGCCAUUCGGGCGAGGAAGAAGGGGCGAGGAGAUGGAAGGAGAAGAAAAAGAAGGGGAGGAUUUCGCGGACUUUCGCAAGGGCUUUAAAGAAGUUUGAGCACAAAAAUUAGGGUUCUUACUUUUAGGGUUCUUGAGAGUUUCUAGCUACUGCGCAUUGAAUCGGUUACACGAUCGCCGGAUCUCGCCCGCCCCGCCGGUCUUGACGCCCAAUCUGGAGAGCUUGUCCAUGGAUGCCGCGAAGGAAAAGAAGAACAGCGCUGGAUCUCGAGCGAAUAGCCUGACGAUUUCCCUGGAGGGGAAGGAGGCGAGGAGGCUCUCGUCGGAUGUGAGCAGCGAUCUGCCGGCUUCCAGGUUCUUGAAGUAAUGGUUGUCGAAGGUGAAAGGCGCGGCCUUGUCGAAGAACUCGAUGGCCGUCACAGGGGCUCCUGGCGGGCAGUCCUUCUUGAGUUCCUUCGCGAAGGACGGAUCGAGAGAAGGGUCUGUGCCGUCCAGAGAGGUGUUGACUCCAUAGAGCCUCUGGCUGAAUUGCGAGCAGUGGGAGACCCCGAGCGUGUGAGCGCCUGGAAAAAGAGAAGAUCAUCGAGGCUUUUCGAGCUAGCAGCUACAUAUCCAUACCAGAGAGCGUGACGAGAUCAAGUAAGUUGAGUCCUUUGCUGUGGAAGUUCUUGAGCAGCUCGUCCAGACCAGACCUUGGCGAUGGGAUUUCUCUAAGCGCGCUAUCCGCGCGUGACACUGUUCCAUCCCUCCGUCCGAGCGCCAGAUUCCAGCCCGGCCCUCCCGCCUGGAAGAGUUUAUAAAGAUCAAAACAAGGACACAGAAGCAUGCUGGAAACUUGCCAGGAUCAACAUAUCUCGAGUGACCAUCGCAAGUAUAUCAGCACACGAGACCACACCCGGGCACUGGGCUUCCACGGCUUGCUUCGCGAGAUCGAUCGUAUCAAACGCAUCCUGGACUAAGUCCCGGUUUGCCACGGAGUCUCUCUCGACCGAGGACUGCGGAGUUUGGCCGAUGAGGAUCGAUCCAUCGCAGCCCUGCAUUGUUUGUGGGAUUGGCAAACGCGCUCUACCCGAUCAACACAAACCUCUACGAAGCAGUCGUGGAAGAAAAGCCGAAGAACUUGUGCUGGGUGAUUGGUCAGCUGCUGGAAUCUCCUCAGUGAAACUUGCGCGACGAUGGAUGCGAUGCCUGGGCAGCUCGAGUCGUAGAAACCGGGCCAGAAUUGGUGGGAAGAGCUUGGAAAAAUCACUGCGAUUGCAAUCAAAACAGCCAGAAAUCUCAUCUUGGUUGGACUCCGCAGCUCAAGUUACUGUCAUGCAAUUUAGUUCAUUAUAAUAUAAGUGGGAUUCUUGAGGUGGACUAUUCUGAUGAGUGGAUCUUAUUAUUAUCUAGCUUUAGCAGUUCUGGCAAUGAUUCUCAGGGUUUUGUACCACAAAGUUGCUCAUCGAGUAGACAAAGUGAAAUUAUUGUUUGUAAAAAUUGUUUGCUGGAAGUAAUGUGAAAUUUCUUCACACCCUUUUAAAUUAAUGCUAAAUCUUAGAAUAUACUCUAUGGACAUUCCAUAUUGCGCUGGAAGUAUCUUCUUAUUAAAGGUUGAAAGAAAAAGAAACAGUGACAAAAACGUCUCUCUCUUUCUCUUCGCUCUCUUGCUUUUCCUCUUUCUUUUGCCUCCUGCACAUAAAGAUUUUGCUAUGCAGUCCUUUAUUUGAUUAACUCCCUCAGCCAUGCUGCUCAAACCCUUCAAGACACUUGAAGAGCGGCUCCAUCAGGCUCCCAUUGCAGAAUGCAUCGUAUAUUUUGUCCAGGUCCUGCUUGGGAGCUCUUCCUUCCAGGCCACCCCCUGUGAGCAUCUCCGUGCCCAGUUCAUGACGAACAAACUGGUACAGCGGGUAUGAGACGCACUUCUCUAUGAUAUGAGUCGCAGGUUUGUCCAGGGACUCUUUCCUGGUUGUGGCAAUCGCCUCCUCCAGUUUUGGUUUCAAUCGAUCUUUAAACUCGCCAAAUUUCCUGACCGAGCAGCCCUGCGUGGUGGGAUUGGCGAGAAAGACUUGCCUCAGCUUGUUUAGUAGUGUGGAGGAGCCGUCCAUUGCAUCGUCAAUGAAGCUGAACGUAUACUGCUUCUCCACUUCGAGCAGCAUGCUCUCAACACAGGCAGCCGGGAAGAACUCAUCCCCGAUCGAGGAGAGAACUUUCAUCACAGCUCCUUGCAAUGCCACCUCCAGAUGCCUCAGAUCGAUCGCCUGGCAGAUGCCCAACAAGUACGUGGACAGCAUCAUCUUGAGAAUCUCAGCGGCCUCUUCGGAUUUCCUCGCGGAGACGAGUCCGAGAGAGUUGACUGCCUGAUUGUGGUGCUCGGCCGUCUGAACGUGGGUGGUGACGGGAUUCGCCAAGUAUGCAAGCUCGGACAUGUAGGCAGCCAUGGCAAUCUCUGCGCAAUGGAAUCCAUAAUCAAGGGACGAGUCCGCACCAGCUGACAGGUUGGAAGGCAGCCCGUUGUUGAAGCUGGCAUUGACCAGCUCCGAGAAUUGAGCAAAGACGAGCUUCCCGAUUGCGGCCAGGGCGAUUCUCACGUUGUCCAUCGCGACACCGAUGGGAGUGCCUUGGAAGUUUGCACCGUGCAGCGCCUUGUCACGCGCAACGUCGAUCACGGGAUUGUCGUUGACCGAGUUGAUCUCUCGCUCGAUGGAGCGAGUUGCAUGGCGGAUGACUUCGAUCUGGGGGCCUAGCCAUUGCGGAGAGCUUCGUAUUGCGUAGUGGUCUUGCCUGAACUUUUUGAGGUUGUCAACCUGGUUCAGUCUAGCUGCGGACGCCAUGAAAGCGCUGUCUUGAAGGACGUGGUUCAUGACUGCCGCAGCUUCGAUCUGCCCAGGGUGGCGCUUCAGCUUGUGGAUGAGCGGAUCUACAAACUCGCUGCGUGCGUGGAUGACUUCGCAAAACAUGGCAGUCAGGACUUCAGCAAAGACGACGAGAACGUUGGCAUCGAAGCAAACGAGAGAUCCCAGAGCUGCACCCGCCGAAGUCCCAUUCACAAGCGCUAUUCCUUCCUUGGGCCGCAGUUCGAAUGGAGCUUCAACUCCCGCAAGCUUGAGGGCUUCUUGAGCAGAGGUGACGCUUCCAUCUCUGGUGAAAGCUACUGAAUCUGGUCUUCCGGUUAGAACGGCUGCAAUGUAGGCCAGCGGCAUGAGAUCCCCCGAAGCAGUGAUUGAUCCUCGGAGAGGAACUUUGGGCGUAACUUGAGCAUUGAUGAGCUUGACAAUGGCAUCCAGGAUCUCCCAACGUGUUCCCGAGUAGCCUUGCACCAAACAGUUGGCCCUCACCAGCAUGGUGGCGCGCGUGACAUGAACAGGCAAGACAUUGCUUGGAUUGGUGCCCAUGAUGCCAGCAUUCAAGUAGCGGAUUAGCUCCUGCUGUAGGCCCGAGAAAUUUGCCGUCCUUCGAUUGCAGUGAGCUCCGAAGCCAGUGGAGAUUGCAUAGGUAUCGACUCCUUUCGCGACACUCUCCAUGACCCACUCUGCGCAUUUGUCCACUCGAGAUUUGGCACUCUGGACAGCAAGCUCAACAUGGACGUGGUCAGCGCGCCUAGCAACUGCUGUGACUUGCUCGAUUGUCAGGGCAGUGCCCUCGAGCGCUAUCAUGCUGGCGUUGUCUAAACCCUUGACCAUCCUACGAACUUCCUUCAAGUGGCUAUCAACUCCAUCCAUGGGGUAUGCAUCUGCACUUCCCAUUUCACAAGUCCUAGAUCUGAUCUCACACACACCUGAACCGUCUUCGUUCUAAUGGCGAAAAGUAGUCGAAAUGGGCUCUCGUUAGCUCUUUCUACGUGGCUCUUGCUGUUUCCUACGCGUUAAGGGAAAGUUGCCAUCGGCAUGGCGAGCAGGCAAGAUAGGAGUAGGGCAGACAAGCCAUGGCACGCUACCAGGCGCCGGAAGAACUGCCUGAAUGCCCAAGAUUCCAAAAGGUUACUCAAUAACACAAAGUAUGUGACUUUGCAUUUUUAACAAAGGGUAGACUGUCAUGGCUGUGAAGCACCAGCUAAUCCCCCAUGCAAUUGAGCUCACCCACGUUCAAACACGAGGGAAUUUUGCUCGCCACAUUAAAAGUUUAGCAUCAAAUUCUUUCUUAACCUUCUAUGGUUUAUAUGAAACUUGAUGACAUCCAACUAUUAUGUCUCCACUCAUUUAUCAUUUGGUUUCACAAGACAAGUAUGCGCUCCACGCGUCUUCGAGGAGACGUCUCAACCUCUCCAGUGUCCCUGUUGGUAAAGUUAUGGUGACUUCAAUCCCCUGGGGUGAUCUUGGAUGAGGAUUGAACAUGCAAAGUCCAUCCAAUCCAAGCCUCUCCAAUCCAACAUGCCGCACGGCUUCUGGUCUCCCCCAUCCCAAAUCAAUCUCGUAGUACCGGAACCGCGGCGAGCUCGAGCACAACAUGUUACAAUUCUUGCCAAGCUUGUCCGCUGCAAUGCCCUUGGAGCUAAGCUUCUUCGUGAUCCCCUCCAUGCCAAAGCUCGUCGAAACUGCAUCCUCCAGCAAGCUUGCAGCAUGGCGGAGGCCACCUUUCCGGAGCUCACCAGCAGUCGUCGUUGACACCGCGUGGAGCACUGCAUUCCCAAAGAACUCGUCCGGCAGCUGAGGAGCUAGCCUUUUCCUGCAGUUGGCAGCCAUGGAAUUGGUGGUGCUCGUGGAAUCGGGCAGAUCCCUCGCUGCACACAUGUUGAUCCAGAUGUGAGCACUUAGCACUUUGAAACUCGAUAACCCGGCGCCAGCCAUCUCCUUGAUCUUGUCAAUGUAGUCUCUCUCGAAGCAGAAGAUUCGACCGCUCAUCGCUAUGUUACCGGACUUUGGAAGAUCAUGGCCGCUUGCAACCGGCGAGAAAUCACUUGCUCUCGGGUAGUCCAGCUGCUGGGGCCCGAGAUCUCGAUCAAUGCGAGGAACUUGGCUAAUCUCACCUUUGAGACAACUCUCUGCCCAAGAUACUAGGAAAUGCACCCGGCCAGUUCCAUCAGCUAAUGCAUGGUCCGCAGCCCAAAGCCACCGAAAUGCCUCCGCACGAGAACCUUGUCACCUAGAUGAAAUCCAGGGGAUGAAAUCCUCAAGAAACGCUGGUCACUGGUUACCUGGAUGCUUAGCAGCGGGCUUCCGAGUGGUGCCGCAGAGCUUCCAUACUUGCCACUUCGAAUCAGAGCCGAGAAGUCGGGCGAUGGCUGAGAGUAGUCGAGCUUGUCAAGCGGAAAGUCGGCUCUUGCCACUGUCCACUCGACACCAGCGGCAUUGCAGUCGAUUCCAUACGAGUUGCCAUCGCUGGAGAGCGCCAGGCGCCCAGCUGCAGGGUAGAAGUGGAGCAGAACUUUAGAGAGUGAGAGCCUCGCUUGGUGGAUCAAGCUCAGGUUCUGCGCGUCCGAGCGAGAGCCUGGAUAGAACGCAACACCUUGCAUAUAGGGAUGGAAGAUGUAUUUCAUAUCAAACUGGGAGAGAGGAAGGAAGCAGCUUGGAGUUGGGGAUAGCGGCUCAAGCAUGAGGCGCUCAAUCUCCUCGACCUUCAUGAUCUUUGUGGAGUGUAGAGCCCUUUCAAGAAAUCGCGUUAUAUUGUUCUCUUCAAACGAUUAGAUUUUAAUAACUAGACAAGAUUUUCUUAGCUGCGAGGAAGAUCUCCGCUGGAAAAUGGAAACGGAAGCACGCUCGCUUACUCCUCUUCUUCUUCGUCUCCAUCGCCACCGCCAGAGGCCUUCUUCGAUGCCGCCUUCAUGUUCUUCCUCUUGACGCGCCCCGGGCCGCCACCUCCGAACGGGCUCGUCAGUGCAAAAUCGAUGUGCUUCUGGGACUCGACGCGGACAAGGAAGGAUGGAACGUUCACCAUUUGCUUCCCGACCCUGGCCAAUUCGCAAGACUCUCGUUAGAUCACAAGGAGAUCUGAUAAGAUAACUAAGAGAAGGAAGAAAGAACUUAGAGAGAGUGGAGAAGGAACUAAGAGAAGAAGGAAAGAAAAAGAGAGAGAGAACUUUGGAUCCCACCUGAUGUGCCUUUGCCUGACGAGAACGCGCGCGUGAUGGAUCGACUUGGCCAUGCCCGCCUUGAACACCAGAGUCUGGAGCCGGCGCUCGAGGAAGUUCUCCACGGUGAGCGCCAGCACGUAAUCCAGCUUGUUCUGGCCCUCCUCGAGCAGCCCAUAGCGAUGCAUCCGGCGGAGGAGCGCGUCGCCCUCGAAGAUCCGGCGCGGGUUCUUCUCGUCCAGCGUGAGCAAGUGGCGCGCGGCGUUGCGGAUGCGACUCAGCACGUACUGGAGUCGCCACAGCUCGCGCUUGUUGCGCAGGCCAUACUCGCCCACCAGCUUGAGCUCCGCGUCCAGGCGCUCCUUCUCGAAUGGCCGCCGUGGCUUCUUGAAAGUUUUCCCAUCUGCGGCACACCGGAUCGAUCGGCACGGGCGCAAUGCGAUCGAGAAGGAGAGACUUACAGUUGCGGUAGAAGCUGACGUUCACCAUCGCCGAUCCUCCAGCGCUCCCGCCCGCCCGCCCGCCGGCAAGAUCCCUAAACCCUAGGUUCGCUCUAAGCCCUACGAUCAGCCCUAAAUCAAACGGCCCAAAUUUGGAGAACGAUCGUUAUAAAAUUCCUUGAUCAGGUUAUGGUUAAGAAAAGAGCGAUGUGUGAGGAGGUGUUUAGGCUGUUCCUCAGGGAUAUCUUAGAGAUGGUUCCAGUAGAGGUUUUGACUGGUAGUGUGAGAUUGGUUUGUCAAAGUUGGGCAGCGUGCUCACGCGAGAUUCUAAAAAACUUAUGCUUUUUGCAACUCCGGACAUGGAAGUUCGUAACUAGUAUCAGGCUUGAUCUUGUUCUAAGACAGAGCAGAGACGGGGAAUUGUCAUGGAAGGAGAUGCCAUUGACAUUUUUGAUGGAUUUUGUGCGCAGGCAAACUCUCCCGCGGGGUUAUCAUCCUCUUUACCCUAGAGGCUCCAUGGCCUACGAUCAUGACAGCAACCUUGCCUUCUUCUUGUUUUCUAGUUCGAAUCGCUUCGCUAGUAUAUGGACAGUAUUUGUGUGUGAUUUUUUCUCCAAACGAGUGAAGGCACUGCCCAGUUUUGAAUCUUACAAUAAGUAUUUCCUUGAAAUGGCCAUAGCGAGUGACAAGAAUGCAAAACGAUACAAGCUUAUUGUGCCUAUGGUCGAUGGUGGAAAAUGGGACUCUGUGUGGAUGUUUGACUCGAGUGCAAAUGCAUGGAAGGAAAUCGACGGCUCGGCAGAGUACUGUAUGGUCAGUGCAAUUUCUCACGGAGGUGAAUGGUAUGAGUUGAAGGCUUUUCGAUCAGAGGGCACUCAUGAGAAGCUAUUAGGAUCACAGUUGCUAAAGCUUAGCCGCGGGGAGUGUACAAUUGGAGAAAUCAAGCUGGACUGGCUGUCAUCCGUAAAGCUUGAGAAGUGGCAGGAUGGUUUCUUAGUUGCUCAGUAUAAUCCUGGUCUUGCAGUUCUCAGGCUUUGGGAAGUGGUGGGGAGCAAGGUUAAGGAGAUUGCAUGCUUGACUGGAAUUGAUCAUCCAGAUGAGUGGGGCAUCAAGGCUUGGAAUGACAAGGUUUAUAUAGCGUUACUGAGGCAAUUAGAGUGGUAUAAACUUAUGGAAUGGAGUCAUGGAGUAUGGAAGGAACUCUUGGCUACAAAAGGAUGCAGUAAACUUGUCCAUGUCCAGCUUGUUUAAUCCUGUUAACACUUCUCAUUGAUCAAUCAAGAUGGUUUAUCUACGAUGCAGUACUUCCAGAGAUGCGCCAGGUGGUGUUUAGGCUGCUCCUUGCUUACAGCACAUGGAUCUUUAGUUAGUAUUAAAAAUUUACUUUGUAUAUCAACCUCCUCGGUACUGAAGCAAUCAGACUGAAGCAUAACAUUUCUUCUUGGCUCCAGAAAUCUGCUUGUUCUUCCUGCCAAAACACUCAUUGGUGAGAACGAGCGCACAUACUCGACAGCCAGUUUUGGCCAGCUUUGCCGCUGCCAUUGCAAUGGCAUUGCCUCAACAUCCCGCGCUCUGUAACCGAUCCAAGAGAAAUGCAUAAUACAGCACCCCCCUCUCUUAUGUGGCUGCCUAUUUGCCAUGUUCACUCGCCUCCUCUGUAGUCACACCUAGCUCUGCACCCUAAAUGUUUAACGACUAACGUUAAAUUUUAAUUAGUAGAUGUUGUUAACUAAUAUGUUAAUGACUAUAAUUUUAUAAUUAGCCAGUGAAUGAACUUAUAAGUAUAUAACCUAUUAUUGGUUUAGGUUUUUCUAUAUUUUCUUUUUUAUUUUAUUCAUUCUCUUUAGUGACCACAAGAUCUCUUAAAACUAAUACAUGGUUUGCAAAUAGUAAUCUUACAUUUACUCAAAUGCUUAGAGUAAUGUAUUGUUGGUGCAUUAAAAUGCCAUAAAAUCAAACUUAUAUUUAGUGUAGUAUUAAAAGUGAGCACACAACAACAAAUUGGUAUAACUUUUGUUGUGAUAUCUAUAUUAUCACAUUAUAACAAGGUAGUCAAAAGAUUGGUGGUCCAGGAAGAAUUGUGGAAAUUGAUGAAAGUAAGUUUGGUAAGCAGAAAUAUAAUCAUGGUAGAAGAGUAGAAGGUCAAUAAAUUUUUGGAGAAAUUAAACAUGAUUUAGAUCAAAUAUUUAUGGUUCUGAUGGCUGAUCAUACUGCACAAACUUUAACUAAUAUAUUAUAUACAUAUGUUAAACCAGGUAAGCUCUAUUUCUAUUAUUAUUCUUAACUAGUAAUUAUAAUUAAUUUUUUAGAAACAAUUAUAUAUAGUUAUUUUUGGGCUGGUUAUGAUUCAAAAUGGUUGAAUCAAUUGAACUUUAUUCAUUAUACAGUCAACCAAUCCCAGAAUUUUAUUGAUCCCAUAACUAGAAUUCAUACAAAUUGUAUUGAAUCAACAUGGAAUGCAGUGAAAAGAUCCUUUCCUCACUAAUAUAAGAAAAGGAUUAUACAACUUUUACUUUCAAGAAUAUAUUUAGCAAAAAAUAUAUAUUGAAAGAAAGGAAGUUGCAUUUAAUAUUCUAUGCAGUCAUAUUAAGCUAUACAAUCAAGAUAAUGCUGUUAAGUAGAAUAAAUAGUAUAAUUGAUUUUUUUACUUUUAAAUACUUAAAAAUAAUUUAAAACAAUAUAUUAGAACAAUGGCAUGCCCGUGUAAGCUAUGAGGUGGCAUGCAAAUCCAAAUAAGCAAAUGGGGCCCACCCUAAAUAAAGGGGGUGCUAUUCUACCCACUGAUUUCUCCAUCGCAUUGCCCUCGAGAUCCCUCCCUUCCCUACUCCAGCUGCUGUCGAUCCAUUCCCUAGCAUCAGCGCCCCAAUGCAAUGGCGCGGGCAGUGUGGAGAAGAAAGCCUGCUAGAACAUGAAGAUUCCCACCAAGAAUUAAAGAAUUCUUGUUUUAAACAUGUAUCAAAACGGAAUUUCUCAAAAAUCAUUUUAAAAAGGUGUGCGUGCAGUGCUGGUAGUAGGGUGCACGCGAAAGAAGCUCGUGCUAUUUGCAACUCCGGGCGAGUUCUACAUGUAAGUUCCCAACUAAUCUCAAGCUUGAUGUUCUACGACAGAGCAAAAACGGGGAAUUAUCAUGGAUGGAGAUACCAUUGAACUUCUUGAUGGAUCUUGAGGUACAAAGUGGCCUCUUGAGAGUAACCUUGCCUUCUUGUUUGGGAGUUCGAAUAUAUAGACAGUAUUUGUGUGUGAUCCUUUCUCCAGGAAAGUGAAGGCACUGCCCUGAAAACUAGCAGAAAAUAUAGUGAGUGGCAAUGAUGCAAGACGAUACAAGCUUGUUGUGCCUAUGAUUGCAUCACCCAAUUCUGUGUCAAUUAACUACAUUAACUCCAUUUAUCAAUUAAAUUUGAUUCCUACUUUAAUUUAACUUACAGGUAGGAGCUCCUUCGCCUUCUCAUUCUCCUGGAAUGCCUGGUGGAUUAGAAUGUGGGCAAAGUGGUGGUAUAGUUCUGUUCACAGGUCUACGAAAUUCUCACCAUUCCCACUCCACCGUCCGGUUGGAGACAAGAUAGUUCUGCAAUAUGAUGCAAAGGUAGAAGCCUUUUUCUAGCCUGAAUUUAGAUUCUCGUCCUAUAAGGUUUCUGUGUUUGAUUCUAUCGUGAAGACGGUGUCUAGGAAGGGCUCUGCAUUUAAAAUGGAAAGGUUUUCAAGCUAGGAGAGCAUGUAGACAGUUGGAGAAGUUUUCUUUUCGAGUUUGACAUGCAGUUUGAUUCAGCCAAUGUGGCAUCUACAACUGUGACUUUGUAAGAAACCUUGUAUCAAGGUUCGGACUACUAACGACUUUACAGGUGAAACAAGCCUUACUUUAGACGUUGAUCCUAAAUGGGAUGUUUGACAAUGCUCCACACUGACAAGAGGAAUGAAGGUUUGUUUCCUUACCUUUGAAAUAUUAGAAGGUUGUAAUGCAGUGCUUUGUAUAGAUUACAUCUUGAAUGAGUCUUGCAACUUGUAUGGCUUCACGCCUCUGAGGUAUGAAUUUUCUCAACAUACAAAUACUUGAAUGACAAAAGAUCUUCACCUUUGCUAGUAACUCUGCUGCACAAUUAUGGUCACAAAUAUAUUUUUAAGUCACUAUAAAUUUGUUUUCAUAUUGUAUGGUCAAUAGCUCAACUGAGUACUUUGCAAACAGUGCAAUUUCUAGUGGAGGUGAAUGGUGGGUUAGGGGAGCAAUUAAAAUCCCACUUGCUAAAGCUUUGUUGCAGGGAGUGUACAGUUGGAGUAAUCAAGGUGGACUAGUCUCAAUGGUGUCAUGGAAGUUGGACUUUUUGAUAGAUUUUGUGUCCAGGCAAAGAGUUAAGGGCUAACUAUAGAGGUUCCAUGGCCUACGACCAGUUUUAAAUCUUGGAGAGAAUAUCCCCAAGCUUGUGCUUUUAGGGUGUUUGAAGCAAAAUACAGGCGGAUUGUAUAAUUGGAGAAAUCAAGCUUAGCUCACCGCCAUCCUGAGAAUUAUUCAUGCUUGGCAGGAUGGUUUCUUAGUUGCUAGUCCUGCAGUCCUCAGGGAAGUGGUGGAGAGCAAUGAAUGAGAUUUAGAAUCAAAAUCCAGAUGUUUGGGGAUGAACUUCAGUGGGGAUGAACUCCCACCAUCUUACCAUCAGCUCAAAUGGAGGAGCUGCAACUAGAGAGUGUAGGGAGUUUUAAGUUCAUAGUUGUACCCCUUGGUCCUGAAGCCAAUAAAGUGGUAUAAACUGUCUAGCAGCAGCUCUUGCUUGGAGAAGAUACGGGAAAAUACACUGAUCUUGUCCGCGUUCAGCUUGUCUAAUCCUGUAGCCUCACAACCAUUGACAUUUUUCAUGGAUCAAACAAGAUGGUUUGUAUAUGAUGAAGUUGACGACAAGUUUGUGAGCAUCACGUACUUCUCCCUACAUUCCCCAUGCACUCUGUGCGACACCCGCCACCCUCUUUGCAAAUCCCCAUGCAGCUGGCAAGCGCCCAACAGGCUCAGCUGCGCGGUCAGGAAAGGUGGCAAACUCUCGAGCAGCUCCUCAGCUCGAUCCAGCUGACCCGCCCUGGACAAAACAUCAACCAUGCACCCAAAAUGCACAGCCUCGGGGCAAAUCCCGUGAUCUCCUCUCAUAGAAGCGAAGAACUCCCAUCCCUGAUCCACCAUUCCAUAGUAGCUACAGGCCGAGAGGAUGUUUACAAAGGUGACGCUGUUUGGGGCGAGGCCCUCGAGCGCCAUGCCGCCGUACAGCUCCAGCGCCUCCGCGGACCGCCCGUGCUGGGCGUACGACGCGAUCAUGGCCGUCCACGCCACGACGCUUCCCGUACAGUGGCGGUCGAACACCGCCCGCGCCUCGCCCAGGCUGCCCCGCUUGCCGUACAUGUCCAGCAGCGCCGUGGCCACGAACCCGUUGGUCAUGAGGCCCAUCGCGUCUGUACGGUCGUGGAUCUGCCGGCCCAGCUGGAGCGUCCCCGCCAUGGCGCACGCGUCCAGCAGCGUCACAAACGUGAACUCGUCCGACGCCACGCCCUCGUGGUCCAUCCUGACGUGGACGUCCAGUGCCACGCUGGAAUGCCCGUUCUGGGCAUAUGCCGCGAGCAUCGAGUUCCAGGACGUGAGCGAGCGGCGGAGGAUGGAUCUAAACACCGCUUCCGCCUCCGCCACCUCGCUGCUCCUCCCAUACAUCGUGACCAGCGAAUUCGCCAGGAAAACGUUGGAUCCCAGCCCACCGGCGAUGAUCCUUUCGUGGAUUUGCUUUCCCAGCGCCAGGGAUCCGGGGCAAUCGCAGCACGCCACCAGCGCCGCCACGAAAGUGAUCUCGUUGCUCGCGAUCCCCUCGAGAUCCAUGCGACGGAAGAGGAGGAUGGCCUCGCCGCCAUGCCCGGAUCCCGCCAGCGCCGCCACCAUGGAGCUCAUGGACACCACGUCGCGGGAGUUCGUCUUGGAGAAGACCUCGCGCGCCUCGGCGAUGCUGCCGCAGCUCGAGUACAUGUUGAUGAGCGCGGUGGCGACGACGAGAUUGGAUUCGUGGCCGCCGCUGCGCAGCCGCGCGUGGAUCUCUCGCCCCUGCCGGAGAUCUCUCUUGCCCGAGAGCGCGCCCAGGAUGCUGCUAAAGGUCAUCUCGUCCGGGGCGACGCCCUCGCAGUCCAUCUCGCGGAGGAGGCGCAGGGCCAGGACGCCAUCGCCGUUUUGGACGCUGGCCACGAUCAUGAUCGUCCACGAGUAGACGUUGCGAUCCUGGAUGGUGAGGAAGACGGCGGUGGCGGAGUCGAGAUCGCCGCAGCGGCCAUAGGCUUCGACGAGAUUGUUGCAGAGGAAUCGGUCGCGGUGGAUGCCGCUGGAGACCAUCCGGGCGUGGAUUUGAUCGCACUCUUCCAGGAGCUGGCAUUGCUUGAGCAAAGAGACGCAUCUCCUCACGCCCUCCGCGGCAUUGGGAUUGCUCGCCGGGAGAAGAGUGGCGCCACUCGGCUGUGGCGGGAAGAGUGUUGUGCUCAUGAACCCUAAAACUUUUUAAAAAACAGACUUUUCUUUUCCAC